rnacentral:lncRNA from 1 species
UGAGGUUAAGUGUCACGUGUAUAUCACGUGUUGCAUACUAUAAAUAUGUUUGUGCUACCAAAUCCAAUUGUGAGAAGAAAAAAGGCAGGCAAUCCAUACAAAGCUAGCGUUUUUUUCUUUAAUAACUUCCCUCUUGCAAUGGAGGGAAACGGCGAUCAUCAUAACCUAAACCCAUGGGGAAAUCCGGAGCUGAGCAACAAGGCACCUGAGAAGACGCCUACGAGGCUUGGUGGUGGAUCGUCGGGGAAGAUGUCGAGGAUGAUGAGCGAGAAGUUUGAGAAAACCAAAGUGGUGGCUUCCCAAGGCAUGAAGAAAGUUAAAAAUGGAGCCAUCGUUGGUGUCAAUUGGAUCAAACUCAAAUAUCAUACCCACAAAAAGAAAUAAACAAUCAAUUUUUAUUUUUGUUUCAUGCAAUGUCGAUGAUGUCUCUUGAUUGUAUUUGUAUGUAUGUUCGUUCCUCCUUCUUUAAUUUGUUGAGAAAUUACUGCAUAUUGUUUAGUGUUUAUAUUUAAGAAUUGGAAUCAUAUUCAAUUUGAUUAUUUUUUCUAUUCAUGUACAUUUGAUAUUAGGGAGAUUGGUUUUUUUAUGUUUACAAGUUUUAUUCUCUCGUGUAAGAGACGAAAAUAUAUACAAUUUGAUAAUGUUGUGGCUUAUGAUUGAAUUACCAGCUUGAGUUGGUUGAAUAUUGGAUUCCCCUUCUAGCGGGCCAGAGUAUUCAUGAAUCCCUAUGUAUAUGCAUAAUCUAAAUGCUAAUUCAUGGCUUGAGACCAUUUUCUUUUUUCCUCAUAUGCAUAAUUCCAAAUUAUUUUCGGACACUUCUGUUUUUGUAUUUUUAUUUCCUCUCAUUUAAUUUGACAUAUGAAAAUGAUAAAUUCUGUGAUAGGUCGGCCAUGUUACUGGUAACCCUUCUCAGUACAUUAAUCCCAUAUUGACAAAUACAGAAAAAGCUAAUCGGACUUUUACGGUUGAUCAAGCUAUAGAGAUAUUAUUUGUGUGGGCAUAAACGUAUAUUAGGGACAUUAGGUUAUCAAUAAAAAGUUACCCAACUGAAAACGUAGGUUGAACCGUUCAAAUUUAUGAAAUCCGAUUGUAAUAUCUUUUUCAUUAAUUUUGUAUUUCCUUGUCAAACGAUCUUCAUUUCUGCACGGGAAAUGACUUAUAUCUCGACAAAUCUCAUGAUAAAAUUGGAUUGCGAGAACUCUAAGUAUGAGUAUGAGAAUAGAAUCAAUUAAAUUAGGUCCCUUCUUAAUUUUCCCUUAUAUCCACGUAGGCCGGUAUUUAGUGUCAAUUUUUGUCACUUAUAGCAAUACUGUUUAUGUGUACUAUAAUAAAAAAUCCCUAUCUUGAAUCUUUUCACAAGUGGUCUAAUAUUGGCCGAAGGAGACAAAAACAGCUCCUUGUCCCAUCUUGAUAGGGAUAGCACUAGAAAAAUAACAUUUUGCAAAUAAGAAAAUUUUUGGAAUUCAGAAACAUGUAUACCACUUCUACUACUGUCCAGAUGGGAAACAAUCCAGAUGUUUCUUUGUCAAGUGUUCCGAAAAUCAGCCUGAGAUCUGGUAUUGUUGGCCGGGAAAUUCCUGCUUUGGGCUUAGGCACUGCAGCUGAUCCCCCUGUGGACUUCGAUACUAUUAGGCUGGCAGUUGUCCAGGCUAUAGAGAUCGGUUACAGGCAUUUUGAUACAGCUGCUCUCUAUAAUUCAGAGCAGCCUCUUGGUGAAGCUAUAACUGAAGCAAUUCAACGGGGCUUAAUUAAAUCUCGAGAGGAGCUUUUCAUCACCUCCAAGUUAUGGUGCAGUGAUGCUCAUCCCCAACAUGUUCUUCCGGCCAUUCAAAAGACACUGGGGUAAACACACCUACCUUACUUCGCAAUAAUUUGAUUGUUUUCGUAGUUCCGUGCUUUUUUCCUUUGUCACAUCAAAGCAUGUUUUUUUUAUCUUUUCCUGAUUGAAGUUAAUCCAUGUGUAGAAAUUUGAUUUUGGAGUAUCUUGAUCUGUAUCUCGUCCACUGGCCAGUGAGUUCGAGGCCAGGAAUAUAUGAAUACCCGAUAAAGAAGGAAGAUUUUACCGCCAUGGAUUUUAAGGGCGUGUGGGCAUCCAUGGAAGAAUGCCAGAGACGUGGCCUCACCAAGUCUAUUGGGGUUAGCAACUUCUCCAGCAAGAAGCUUGCCAAUGUCCUAGCCACUGCAAAAAUUCCUCCCGCGGUGAAUCAAGUGAGCAUAUAAUACACCAUACUUCAUUUAAGCAAAGGUCUUUACAAGUAUAUCUAUAGUUUGCUGCGCUUAACUUUGCAUAUAGGAUUGAAUCAAGAAAAUUACUUGAAAAAGUGUUACCAAUCAGGAGACUUAAUUUAUAUGCAUUUUUUUCCACAAUCAUCAUAAAAUUAGCAGUGACGAAAUAUUAUGAAAGGUGGAAGUGAACCCGUGUUGGCAACAAAAGAAGCUGAGAGAAUAUUGCAAGUCCAACGGAAUUCUUGUAGUGGCGUAUGCUGCUUUAGGAGCAGUAGGAACCUUUUAUGGAACCAACAGAGUUAUGGAGUGUCAUGUGCUUAAGAAAAUUGCAGAGGAAAGAGCAAAAACGGUUCCACAGGUGCUUAAAUUUGAAAUCCAACUUUUCAUCCAUAAGGCGAUAUAAAAAAGGCUCACCUGUUUUUCUUGAAUGCAGGUUUGUUUGAGAUGGGCAUACGAGCAAGGGAUUGGUGUGUUGGUAAAAAGCUUCAACAGAGACAGGAUGAAACAGAACCUUGAGUUAUUCAGUUGGGCAUUGAGUGAAGAGGAGUCUAAGAGGAUGAGUGAAAUUCCGCAGAGUAGAGCAUGUCUGGGUGAGGAUUAUACAUCAACAAAUGGACCUUACAAGACAAUUGAGGAGCUCUGGGAUGGAGAAAUCUGAAUUCAUCCUUGGGUGUAGUAGGUAGGUACCUAGUUCAAAUGGUAUCAUCAUCAUGUCCUCUCUCGUACCAAAGUGCUUGAGGCAUUAUUAGCCACUCUCCCUCAAGUCUUAUAGGGAGAGUGCUUUGUUAACACCUAGGUUCGGUUCGGUUCGGUUUGAGAUUAGGUUGUAUGUCCUUACUAGUGUUAAAAAAAAACUUGAAUUUCAGAUUUCAUGAGUGGAAUGGUGGUCGGAAUUUCAGAUUUGCAGGCCCUGCAUUGCCUCAUGAUCAGUCAAAUGAUAUGCUAAUGGCAGAGUUUUGUCGUAAAAUUAAAAUAAUGAGAGGUGUUGAUGUAAGUCAAGGUGAUGUGGACUUUGUGGUCUUGGAUCAUCAAAUUUAUUAUGAAUUUGACCGAGUGGCACCGGCCUAAAUUUGACCAAAAUAGAGUCAAUACAAAAAAUAGAGUCACUCUAUUUGCAUGAGGUUUACUAUGGGUCAAAUUGGUAGUGCUUAUUUUAUACUCUCUCCUCUUCUCGAGUUUGGACAUUUUUUUUUAGAAUGAAGAGAAUAUUUUAUAAAAAAAUACAAAUAUUAGUCUGGCAAAAAUUAGGGAACUAGGUCAUCAAACAUGUUACUUAGACUCGGGCUGAUAAUUUAUAAAUGAAUAAAAUAUUUAAUCGUAAUAAUACAUGAGGGUGUGACACUAAUUCAUUUUUUAACAGUCAUAAAUUAUACCCUUCAAUUUAACAAUCAUAAACACUUAUUUAUGUAUUUUCAAUGGAGAAGUCAAAAAGGCAUAUGUUAGUUUUCCCCAGUUUAGUCCAUUGGACUUGCUUUCCUUCACUUUCUCACUAAAAUUCAAAAAGGUCCGCAUAGAAGUUAUAUUUCUAAAUUUAUUAAUUUUUUGGUAUGGAUAAUGGAAAAUCCAGAAAAGACAUGUUAAAUGUUUUGGAUGGUAAACAUAAAUUGAUAAAUAUUAUCUCCAUUCUAUAAUAAUUGAUAUUCUGAUUUAUUUAUCGUUUAUAACUUUUUAGGAGAAUAAAUUAUUUAUUUUCUUAUAUCACCUUUAACUUCUUUCAUUGUCCCAAAAAAUUUUCUCUUUGUAGUUUCUACAUAAAAAAAUUUAUAAAAGAAUUAUAAAAGGGAAAUACAAGUGUUUACAGGCUUAAAGUAAAAACAAAAAAAUUCAAAUAAAAACUCAUUUGCCCCUCAAGCUCCAUUUUCUCUUCUUAUGAAUAGACUAAAAAAUUAUAUAGAAAGUAGUGUAAUAAAUAAGACACCCUUAUAAUUUUAUUCAAUCCUAUGCAUUCAUAUGUCAAAACUUUUUAUUCUCUUGGAAUAAGACGGGAAGGGGAAAAUUUUGCUUUCCCUAAUUUCGCACAAGAAGAGUUGGCUCUUUUUUCUCAUGGGUACUAGAGACUCAUAAAUUAUUAGUAAAAUCUCAUAUAGACAGAAAAGAGUUGUCCGCAACUCGGCCAAUUAAAUCUCCAAAGUCCAAAGACCAUCAUCAUAUCCUAUGGUUCUGGUUCUCUCUUUCAAAUACAGUUAUUAUCGAUUUAUCACAUUAUUUAUAUGUUAAUAUAUCUUAAAUAAUACUAACGUAUUCUAUUUUCAUAUGUUAAGAUGACCUAUUAUUAUAAGAUGCAUUAAACUGUAACAAUUUUAUUUAAAAUAAGUUUACUAUUACAUACAAUCGCUCACAUACAUAUUUUGAUGGCUCACGUAACUUGUUCUGUACGUGGACUAUUAAAAUAUGUAUAUGAGCGGUGUAUGUAAUCGUAGACUUAUUGUUUCAUAUAAAGAUUAAAAAUAGUCUAUUUAAUGUUUUAAGCAAUACUUCACCUCAACUUAUUAAUGAACAAAUUGUUUUAAUGUAGUAUUCGACCUCACAUAAAAGUUGAGGUGGAAUAUGACACAUCAACAAAUUAUAAAAUAAUUGUAGAAUAAAUUAUAUCUAACAUUAUUCUUAAAGAAUAUACUCCUACUACUUAGUAGGUUAGUGUUUAUUAGGAGAUUAACACUUGGUUCUGAUAUUAAAGUUUUCAAUCUUUGGCCGAUUUAGUCGGUAGUACAAAUUUGGGGAUGGGGUAAGAAAAAUCUAACCAACAUGCUUACUAUUUCCACAACAACUGACUUUGGUUUGCCGAAAUCCUCGAAAUCUUAGCUGCCAAAGUCCUCCUUCUGACUUUUGUUUUCACCAACGUUUGUCGCUUUAGUCACCAUGUUCAACAAAUAAUGAUUACUCAAUUCAACAAAAAAAAAUUAAAUACAUAAAUAAUAAUAAUAAUAAUAAUAAAUAAAUUCAAAUUCAAAUUUGAUGCAAAUUUAGUUGAUUAUGAUUAAGAUAAUAGUACUUUAUUAACUACAAAAUUGUUAUUCAAAACCAUCCUAACCACCCUAUAUAUAUAUAUACAUAUAUAAAUAGUAGCAUCCCCUUGAUCAAAUCUAGGAGCUUACUUACUAAAUGAUCCUCAAAACCGUAUAGUACUAGUACUACUUUAUUUCUAGCUAAGGGUUUAUCAGUCAUUUCCAUAGAGAGCCCGGGAAGGCUCAGAACCCCAGCAAUAACUAGCUACCUGCUUUUCUUGAAAUUGUCAGCAAUUAACCAAACCCCAAUAGCUCCACCCAAAAAGUGAUCAGCCAUGCCCAAACUACAACAACAAGCAACUUAUUCAGAUUCAAACCUCUCAAAAAUUCUACCCAAACUUGAGCUCCAUGAAUAUGAAGCAACCUAUUCUGUACCUAUUCUUUCUUUUUUACUUCAUUUCCACUAUACCUCCAUCUUCUUCCCAAUCCCAUUCUCCUCAAAAUAUUCAAACUUUCUAUCCAUUUGAUCUCCCCCCUACAACGACGCCAGGAGAACCACUAGCACAGCUUCCCCUGCCACCGCCAUCUUCAAAGUCAUGGCGGAAUAAGGCCGUUGUUAAGGCAGUUGCUGCAACUGCGGCAAGUAGUUUAGUCAUAUCGGGAUUGUUUUUCUUUUUAGUCCGGCGGUACGUGCGCCGUGGGAGAAAGCAAGUUGGUGCUACUUCCCUCGAUGGUAACUCCGCAAUGCCCUGCUCUGAUGAAUUUGUGCAAUUUAAUGGUAAUGUCAAGGGGGUGAUUGUUGAUGAGGAAGGUUUGGAUGUGCUUUACUGGAGGAAUUUACAAGGGGGAUACAAUAAGAGAAAAUUUGUUAAAGAGGAAUUUUAUGAUACAAGAGAUGAAAAUGAUGAGGAAAAAGAGAUGACUAGCAAACGCAAAGAUAUACUCAACAAAUCUAAGUCUUCCAAGUCUUCAACUUCUCAUGUUUGGCCAGAAGUGGCAGACAAAAAUCAAAUUCAAGCCGUGGAAAAACAAGAGUCCUUUAUAAAAGAGCACUCUCCACCACCAACACCGCCACCUCCUCCUCUGAUUCUGGCAAAGAGAACUCCUGCACCACCAACGCCUCCACCUCCACCGCCUCUGAUUACAUCAAGGAGAACUCCUACACCACCACCAACUCCAAGAGGAAAGUCUAGUGACAGAAAGAAAGCUCAAUCUUCAUCUGACCAAGGCAUAACAGGAAAUGGGAAAGGUCAAGUGAAACUGAAGGCCUUGCACUGGGAUAAGGUGAAUCCUAAUGUUGAGCAUUCAAUGGUCUGGGACAAACUCCAUAAUGGUUCUUUUAGGUAAUGAAAACUCUUCAAAAUUUGUUUUAUAUUAAAUAAAUUUUAUGCAACCCCACUAAUAUAAUCCCACUUGUCUUAUUAAUUUCCAUUGAAAUUCAGGUUUAACGAUGAUCUUAUGGAAGCCCUCUUUGGAUCCGUGGCCAGUAACCAAAUAUCUCCUCAAAAAAAUAGCAAUAUGAAAAGUCCAAAAGAUGCAAGAUCAGGUCCCCCUUCACAGGUUUUCAUCCUUGACACCAGAAAGUCCCAAAACACAACCAUUGUGCUCCGCUCUCUAGGCGUUUCUCGCUUACAUAUAGUUGAUGCCCUCAUUGAGGGCCAAGGUUUAGAUGUAGACAUCCUUGAAAAGAUCACAAGAAUAGCCCUAACCAAAGAAGAAGAAUCAGAAAUUCUUGCAUUCGACGAAGACCACACAAAACUAGCAGAUGCAGAGUCUUUCCUCUAUCAUGUCCUCAAGACCAUUCCAUCUGCAUUCACUCGUUUCAAAGCCAUGCUUUUUAGGUCAAAUUACGUCUCUGAGAUUGUCCACCUUAAAGUUUCUUUACAAACACUUGAAUCCGGUUGCAAGGAGUUGAGAAGUCGCGGACUUUUCUUGAAACUUCUUGAAGCGGUUCUCAAGGCUGGAAAUCGAAUGAAUGCAGGAACUUCAAGAGGGAAUGCACAAGCCUUCAACCUUACUUCUCUUCUAAAACUCUCUGAUGUUAAAAGCACAGAUGGAAAAACUACAUUACUUCACUUUGUUGUGAAAGAGGUAGUCCGAGCAGAGGGAAAACGUUGUCUGAUCAAUCGAAGUCACAACAGCAGCAGUAGCCGAAACAGCAACAACAAUGGUAGCGUAAUUGUUGAUGAUUCUAAACCUAAAGAGGACAGAGAAAAAGAGUAUAUAAUGUUCGGGUUGCCAGUUGUAGGCGGAAUUAGUGCAGAGUUUACUAAUGUAAAGAAAGCAGCAACACUUGACUAUGAUGCUUUGCAUAAAUCGUGCUCGGCUCUGGCUAACCGUGUUGCUGAAACAAGGCAACUUGUGGGAGAAUGCGCGAUUAGUGGAAGAGGACAAGGGUUUAUCAGAGUGAUGAAAGGUUUUCUAGACGCUGCUGAAGGAGAAAUAAGAGUAGUGAGUGAAGAGCUAGCAAGGGUAAUGGAGCUUGUAAAGAGAACAACAGAAUAUUAUCAAGCCGGAGCCACAAAGGAUAAAGGGGAAGAACCACUUCAACUAUUUGUUAUAGUUAAAGAUUUUCUGGGAAUGGUUGAUCGGGAAUGUGUUGAUAUAACUAGAAAUCUGCAGAAGAGGAAAACUGCAACAGCCAUUAGCGGAUCAUCACCACCAAAAUCACCCGUCUCAGUGAAGUUUCCGCUAUUGCCAGCAAACUUAAUGUCAGACAAGUCCAAAACUAGUUCUAGCGAUUCAGAUGAUGAUUUUUAAGUAAACCUGCAUUAAAAAUGGCAGGGAAGAGUUUUUCGUUUCUAUUGGUACAAGUAUCUUCCCUCUUGUAAAGUUGACAAGAUUAGCCUAGGACAAAUAUAAAAUCACGCUCGAAUAUACUAUUCUAAUCAUUUUUAAGCAAUUAUGAGAGGCCGACUUGUUUUUGUAUGCCAGAAGCCAGAUCCAUUUGGCUACUCUAAUUUUGCUGAUCCAAUCAAUCAACCCAAAUAUUUUAUAACAAGAAAUUAGCAAAUAGAUGCACAAGUACCAUCAGUGUCUCAUAAUUUCACUACAUAAUGGCAAUGCCACUAUUUCCUUUAAUCAUUCAGAACAAAGAAAUAUCAAUGUCUGAAAAUUUUGAAGAGAUGUGCAAGAUGGAACAAAGCCAAAAGCCAAAUUUUACUCUCUUUUUCUCUAGGAAUUACAAUGUUCAAAGCUAAAGAUGUAUAAAAAAAACUGCACGUACAGGAAACUCGUGUUCUCCAUUAAGUUGGAUAUAUGUCUUAACAUGCCAAACAUCACUAUGACACAGCUCUCUCUCUCUAAAUAUAUAUGGCAAUUGACCUUCAACAGAGUGAAACAGACAGUUUUUUUUUCUAAAUCUCGAAACGGUCCCCAACCUGUUUCAUAAUCUGCUCAACAUUAUGUAUAGACUCCACCAGACAACUGGAUGGACCUCCUCGGUUGUCCUAACCCAAACCAAAUUUCCUGUUUGCAUGUAUAUUUUCCUUGUCAACUGGUGUAUUUCUCUGCCAAGACUGUACUUCUACCCCCCUAGCAUCUGCUGAGAAUGUUUUUUCUUUUUUCACAAAAGCUGAGGUUCUUUAUGGUCCAAUCUUUUACCUAUGUGACUCAGGACUAUGACGAAUCUCGUUCUUGCCGCCCUCCUGAAUUAUUUACAUGAGUGCCACAAAAUUAUGAUCAACAGAAACAUGAAGGAAAUUAGUAGGAAAGUUUGAAUAACUAGAAGUAAACAGAAAUGAAAUGAAAACUUCAACAUAAUUUUUCCAAUUAUUUUUUUAAUAUUAAACUUCAUAUUUUACGGGAAACUCAAUACCCUAGCCCAAAAACUGGGAUUAAAAUGUUAAUACAAUCUUUCUUCGAUUUAGGACAACACAAAAUGGAUUUUCCAACAACACUUUGCUCUUAUUUAUGCUUUAAUAAAUUCCCACUUUAGGCCUCAUUAAUAAAACUUCAAGUUCCAACUGGAACCAAGUAUGAUUUGUAAUGAUUCUUCUACUCAAGAACUAUUAAUUGCACUAAAUACCUUUAAUUAAUUGUAAUUAUUUAGGCUAACAAGAUUUCAUAAGCUGACAGAAAAAUCAGGCAUAAACAGGAAAUUCCAACAUGCUCUGGAUAUGAUAUGCAAGUAUUUGCAGUGGCCGGAAAAGGGAAGCUAAUGUCAAAGAAAAACAAAGCACUAAUUUUUACAAUUCAAUGGGAUGCCAUCUUGACAAAAUGUAAGUUCAGUUUAAACAGUAGAACAAACAACUAACAGGUACCGUCCAUGAUAACCUCAGACCAGAAUCAUUGACUUAUCUAGCACUAGCAGUAAGCUCCACUAAAAGUUAAGCUGUUCCUUGCUUUUACAGUUGCUCAAAUAAGCUGUCAAAGAUCAUCAGAGCGAGGAAUGCAUGACAUAUAGCUUAUCUGGGCCACCAUUACUAACCGUCAUAAGAGAGAAAAUUUUAGUAAGACUAAAAACAUGUCUAUGAAUUGCCAACAUAUAAAGUCAAUUUGUCAUCUUGAUGAUUCCUAGUGGUAGGUAUAUUUUGUCUUAUUCUUGAUUAUUUUUUUUAAAACGUAGGAGGAUCUCUAUAUGAACAAGUCAAGUUACAUCAACCAUAACCAACAAAGUUGUUACUUUUCUAAAUUUAUAGUUUUUUUUUCCUUCUCUGAAAGUCUUUACUCUUUAGUAUCAAGGUCUACCUUUUCUGAAGUAGUCUUGGAACCGUGGCCCCGAUAAAAACCUGGGAUAGGUUUGGCUUUGAAAUUUAGGCUCUGCCUUAGCCUUUUGAUCUCAGCAUCUUUCUCCUCCUGAAUCAAUUUUCCCAUAUCGAGAUACAAUUUAAAUAAAAAAAAGCUCAAGCAUAAAUAACACAUUAAUAGGAUCAAACUCAGAUAUUCCCCACAUUUGGAAGUGUACCUUUGAUUUUGAGCUAAGACGUGUCUUUUCUUCCUCUCUAGCAUACGACUUUUCCUCCAAUUUUUUGAAAAACUGUAACAAAAUUAUACCUUAUUACAACAUGCCACUAGUGGGAAACAGGAUGCAUAAAAUUCUAAGAAGAUAAUAGGUGAAAAAAGGAAGGGGCGGGGAUAUUACUUCUUUGCGUUUUUCAGCUCUUUCAUCACUUCUGAAGCCAACAGAAGACGAAGCUGCCUUCACAUUUUUUUCCACCCUGGUUUCAUUGAGUGACCUACACCAAUUAAAUGAUUCAAAAAUGAGCAUAUACAAGAUUACUAAGUUCAAAUUUGAAACCAACUAAACAACGUGCUCAUUUUUUUGAGAAAUAAAAGAAACAAGGGAAAAAAAUGUUCUCCUUAGACAGAUAUAGAUAAAUAUAAAAAGAGCUUUUUUUAGGACUGUGAUAAAUGUAAGUAUAGAUUCACAGAAUUCAACUUCAUCAUCUAUUAAAUAGGAAUAAAGAAGAAUUAAGGAUGCAUUCUUUGUCACUCCAUACAAACAUUCCUCAUGGAUUACAAUACACUAAUUAAACGAAAUUGUGGGUUUAUUGUAAAUUUAUGUUAUGACUAAAGAUGUUAUGGAAUAGGUUGAUCAGGAAACUAUUCUGAUUCAGUGCAGGUUUUGAUAUUAAUCAACAUAAAGCGGUGCAGACUGCCAGGUGGAUGGGUGUCAGAUCAGGUUUUGGUUUGACCAUCUUCAUUUAGCUUAUGUAAAUCUAAUUAUAUUAUACAAAACAAGGUUGUCAGUAAGCAUCAAUUCUUCCUCUACCUCUGAUGUUGCUAUAACCACGCCUCAUUGGGAGUGGAUUGGGAGGAAUAUAAUUGGUCUGAAACCAGGAUAAUAAAAUUCAUGAACUAAAGCUAGGAUAUGCUGGUUCAGUUCAAAAGCUUCCCUUGCCAUAGAUGCAAAUUGUAUUGCCUCUGUUCCAAAAUUAGAGAUAUAUUUUUAAAACGGUGACUUUUAAAGAUAAUUUUAUGUUCUCGAAUUUACCCUAAAUAUUAUUUAAGAAUUUAUAGCAGCAAUGUGAUAUUAGAAAUGAUAUUAAAAAAUUAAUGGCAGAUUAGGAACAUCAUACCACUUUAUAGUCUUUAUAGUCAUAAAUUACAAAUCUAUCUCUUUUUAGGAACCGACUAAAAAAAAAAAUAUAUCUCUACUUUGGAACGGAGGGAGUAAUAGUCAAAUUAUAUCAAACUUUGGAAACAUUUGUCCAAGGUAAACAGAGGCGGAACCAGGGGGUCCGGGGGGGUGACCCCCCCACUCUGGAAUCUUCAGGGGUUCUUUGUUUUCCUUUCCCUUCCUUUUUCUUUUAUGUAUUUUCUUUUCUCCUUUGUUUUUCUCUUGCAUUUUGCUUUAUCAUCAAAGUGGGGCAAAAAAAGGUGAUAACAAUUCUCUCUGUAAACUAAUUAAAAAUAAAAAGCUAAAGAAAUAAAACAAUUUUUUUGGAUCCCACUAUAAUGACCAUAAGUGCAUUAUAGUUCUAUCCUAUCAAGAUUAUUAAAUCUCUCUUCUAUUUUAUUUUAUUUUUGUUGCUGAAAUUCCUUUUUUCAAGUUAAUUAAUUCCAUGAAUCACAAUAUAAGGUUUUGAAUAUAUAAUAUUAUAAUUUGCAAUUUAUCUAUAAAAAUAGCUAAUCAGUUGACUAAAAACUUCAAAGUCUCAUUAAUAGUCCCAUAAUUCGGGGGAAAUUAAAAAAAAAAAUUAUAUAUAUAUAUAUGUAUUUAAAGCCAUUAAACUCACAACUCAAAGGUUGACAAGGGUUGGAAUAGGAUGUUGUGAAAUACUAUAAUUGGGCAAAAUGAAUUUGAAAGACCAAGCGACAAUAAAUAAUUUUUUUUACUGAUGUAUUUUGACCCCCUCUAAAAAUGUUUUGGUUCCGCCACUGAAGGUAAGGCCUUUAAGAAAAAAAUGUCUCAAUAUGUAGCUUGACAAGUAUGUUGGAAUCAAUGAAUAGCAAGACAGGAUGAAGAACGAAAUAAAAUGGACAGUCAAAGGCAACACUGAUACAAAGACUAAGGGUCUGUUUGUGAGUUUUGAUUUGGGGGGAUGGGAAGGGAAAGUUUUUUCCAAAUCAAAACUAACAAACAGGCCAUAAGAGUCUGCAGAAGUCAUUUGAUCAUGUUCAGUGACUAACAAUAACUGCACUUAAAGUGCAAAGUGGGGUGAUCAAAUAUUGGUCAAGGCUACAUGAAAAAGAUAUAAUGAUCUUUUUCUUUUUUGAUAAGUUACAAUGAUCUAUUACAGAAACGGAGACCCGAGAACAAGAUAGAAGAAAGUUGUGAUGGAUACUUGUUUUAGUAUCCCAUUAUUUGUCUCGUCAUACAUUUUCAGAACUAAGAUCAAAUCUCCAAGACUUUGAAAGUAAUAAAAUCAACAUACAUUACCUUGAUGAUGUAGUAUUCCAUCUUGUUCCAAGUUGACUUCUUUGAGCAUUCACCCUCUCUGUUGCCUUCUUUGUUCUACAAUUCAGUUACAUUUGUUUGGGAUAAGUACACAAUUCAGUGCAUUUUUAUUUUUAAUGCAUACUUAUAGCCAAAACAAGAAGAAAACAUAGACUUAUCACAUAUGUGUCAUGGUUUAAAAUUUCUUUCUAGUAACCAUUGCAACAGAAGUAAUAUAAAGAUUUAUAUGGAAAAAAUAUGAGAAGAAUAUCUCCAUUACAAAAAGAAAAAAAAUCAUAAAAAGAAACAAUAUAAGAAGAAAUUACCAUGCAAUGACAUACUAGGUAUCGAUGAAAAGGGUAUCGCAUAUCUUUAAAGUUUUAAAAGGAAGAAAAAAAAACUAGCACACAUAAAUCAAUGUGCAAUAAAGACAAUGUAAUAAACACAAAAUUGCUGCACCCUCUCACCUUGUGAUAUAAAAAUGAAGGACUGGGAUUUGUUCAUAUAGAGACAGGUAAACUAGAACCGCAGUAAUGGUAAAGAUAAUUGAUACAAAUAAUUUAUGAAAAAGUAACUGCUUACAACGAAUAGAUUUGGACUUUUAUUGAGUGCAUAGUUUGAUCUUCGAAGGAAAGUUGAAACUAGCAAAUCUAGAUAGAAAUAGAAAAGAAGUUACCAGAAGUUAUAUUCAGAAUGUUGAGCAUUAGAAGACUUAAUUCACUAAGCAUUCCAUACGAUCAAGGGGUUUUAAACAUCUAUUUUCUAAGUAAAAAGGACUUGACAGGAAUGCAUCCAUUUAUAUGUUGUUAGAUACAAUGAGACUCGAGAAUACCUCUCAUUCUCUUUUUGAGAAGUUUUAGACGUUGAAACUCUAUGAUCUGAUUCCCUAGCUGAUACCUGCCAAAAGAGGUUGAAAUCAACACCUCUCAGUUGAGGAUGAAAAGUAGGAUCAAAACUCAAAACCAGCCACUUAGGUAGAGAGCAAGCAAAGAAAGCUAAGUUCGUUAGGUAUCUGAAUAAAAAAGCAUCUUAGAAUGACUAACCUGCUUUGGCCCACGUGAUUUUUCUUCAGUAGGCAAUUGGUUUAAAUUGUUCUGAAAUGUCUUAAACGCUCGCUUAACAAUGUCUUUAUCCCCCAUUUGCUCCAUAAUCAAAGACUUUCUGGUUGUAGUAAGGGAAGCUGAUGCAAAAUUUGCAGGACCCAAACUAGGAGACAUGUUAAGGGAUGUAGGAGCUGCAAGUUUGAUUUCUGCCAAAGAAGAAUUUUUGCUUCUUGGUAAUGAUGAAACAUUCGGCUUAUUUGUUGAGGAUCGAGACGCAUACAUCACUGUAGCAGUUGAUAUCGGUUUCGACAAUCUGGGAGUGGAGGUUGAUGUUGGCCUUGACAAUCUGGGAGUGGAGGUUGAUGUCGGGUUAGACAAUUUGGGAGUGGAGGUUAACGUGGGUUUUGACAAUCUAGGAGUUGACAUCUCAGUUGGUUUGGUUUUAGGUGACACUGGUUUCUUCUUCAUUCUUCCUGAGUUCUGCUGUUUUUUGGUUUGUGUUACCUAAGAACCAGAAAAUUAAUGAACUUAAGGCACCAGAAAUAUCCAGACAAACUAAUUUUAAUAAAUAUAGACAAAUAAAUUAUUAUUUUGGUCUAAUUCAUCUCUAAAAACCAGUUGGCUUGUAAGUUGCAAAUCACCUUUUGAGAUUUACUCUGUGCAUCCAACUCAGAUAUUUUCCCUUUACUUUCCUGAUCUACUGUCUCACUGUCCACCAGAGGCUGCUCGUUGGUGUUCUGCCCGUCCUGUGGUCUAUUAAGAGUCUCUUCUGUAACCAAAACAGCUUCUUCUGGAUAAUUUACUUCAUAGCUUUGUACGUUUCCAUUUAUUUUGUCCUCAGCGCUCUCACCCAACAAGCCUUGACACCCUACCGCAUUGGCAUCUUCUUCUGUUAGCUCAUCAAGAAGGCUGCUACUCACCGCACCAAGUGAAUUGGUGUCUUGCUCAACUUCUUCAACAGAGCUCUGACCAUUGGAUAUACCAUAUUCAGCAUCAGUGCCAGAAGUGCUUUUGACAUGUUCUAUGCAAUUUAUUUCAUCGGAUCUUGAAGAAUCAGUUCCCAUCGUGCUCUCCUGCUCUUGUAGCUCUGCCUUCCGAGCUGCAAUCUUCUUGUAGUGGGCUUCGAAAUAAGCUUUCUUCUGAGCUACAGAUCCAGGGGUUGAGCACUUCUCUACUUCUUCCAAGUACUUAUUUGGUGAGAAAGAUGACCAUUUCUCCCAAGAAAGUGAAUCAUUCUCAAACCUACCAAACGAUAUCGAUACUUCGAGAGCAGCAUGAGAUGUAACUGACUCUCCCAUCUGUUUAUAUAACACAAAAUCCAAGAUUCAAGCAAGAAACAAUAUGACAACUCAUAACAACACAGUAUGGACUAUUGCAAUCAAGACAAAUUCAAACACGAGAAGAAUUGCAAACAAAAUUAAUAAUGGGCCAUUUUAACUGAUCCAAGGACAAAAAAGGGAGUACCUCAUUAUCGAUAUUCGGUGCUUCCAUCAUUGAUUCACCCACAUAUUCUCUUACUAACAAGAUUGAAUUAUCUUAAAUCUACAAGAAAAGAAAUGCACAGAAUGUGCACAACAUGACCUGAGACAAGCAUGGGCAAUUAUUCAUCAGUACACUGAACCGCAGUAAAAGACCAAGAAUAAUCAGAUCACAAUAAAGACAAAAAGAAUACAAGAACAAUAGAACCCAAGGAAGGCCUAUGCAUGUGAUGACUUGGGAAUUAUCCAUACAACUUUUUACAGCUAUGAAAACCUUGUCUGUUUCUGGUACUGCUGGAAAAUCCUAAUUUGAUAAAGCCAAUCAUCACACAAAAAUAAUUGCAUACAAAUAGAGGAGGUGGGGGAUAUAAGUACCAUUACAAUUAUUUUGUCCCCAAAAAGUUUUCACCUUUCUACUACCAUCAUACUAUGAAAGCAUAAAGAGAAAAAGCAAACACUUUUUGGCAAAUAAUUAAUGGAUAAUGAAGAUUCAACAAAACAUAGUGGAGGCAUUUGAUGUAUAAACAAAUCAAACAGUGCAAUUUGGAACUGUAUUAUUUGUUUCUUACCCAAAGAUUUCCCAUUCACGUAAUUCAGAGAGACCCUAUAGGAUAUUGAUUCAGAUCAGACAUUAGAGAGUAAUAGAGAUGGUAAAGGAAGGCCCACUGAGAAAACGGUAGUCCAGUAGUCCAGUAGAAGAACGGAUGAGAGAGAGGGAGGAAGAUAAUAUAGAUGACGUGACAGAUCUCUAGAUCAAUAAUGGUGCCAGCAUGUUACACAUAUGGUCCCUACGAAUUUGAUUAGUUGAAUUAAUUGAUCCCAAAAAUAGUGGUGACAAUAAUAUUAUUAGUAUGAUAAUAUACUACUCCAUGACUAUAAUUAUGAUAUUUUUUUCUUAAAAGAAUUAAAGUACAUAAAGUAUAAAGUAAAAGGUAAUUAAGGGUUUGAAAAUUGAAUGAAAUAAUUAUGAAUGUUUAAGUAAUUUGAAUGAGCUGAAUGAAACAGUAUUUUGGAAAAAAAAUUGUUUAAUAAUUGAUAUGUCUGAAACAUCUUUUUAUUAUUUUACUCCUAUGAAAAAAAUUCAAAAUUAUUGUAAAUUUAUUUAAUAUUACUUAUUAUAAUAGUUAAUAUUGCAAAAAAAAAAUAUAUAUAAAAUACUUCAUUCAGUUCAUCCGGUCAAAAAAAUUACAAUUGGUCAUUCAGUCCAAAAAUCAGAUUGAUUCAAUUAUUCAGACAAUUUUUAUUCAAAAUAAAUGCACUGAAUAUCUAAUCGAUUCAACCAUUCAGUCAUUCAGCUAUGAAUAGCUUUAAACUUGAGAACUAUGGUUAUGUUUGUAAAGAUUAUAAUUUUAGGAUUACAAUUCAUAAAAUUAUAAUCUCAAAAUUAUUAAUUUUAAAAUUAUAAUCCUGAGAUCAAGAUUAUUAUAUUAUUUUAUAAUUCAAGCCUUAUAGUCUUAAAUUUAAAUUUGAAAAUAUAAGGCUAGUUUGGGGACCACGUUUGGAAGGCCUCACUCUCCGACUUUAUAUAUUAUAUACAAAUCAAAAAGUCUAGGGGACAUUUUCUAGCGAUAUUUUUUUUUUUUUUUUUUUNNNNNNNNNNNNNNNNNNNNNNNNNNNNNNNNNNNNNNNNNNNNNNNNNNNNNNNNNNNNNNNNNNNNNNNNNNNNNNNNNNNNNNNNNNNNNNNNNNNNCCUCUCAAAAAAUAUAUAGUAUUAAAUUGAAUUAAAAUUUUUAUAAAAAAUAGUGAUUUAUGUAUAAUUUAGAUACAUACAAAAAACAAGAUAGGUACAAUCACUAGAAAAUGGGUUUUCUCACUUAUUUAAGACUCGGUAAACCUUCAUAAUACUUAGAUAUUAGAAUAAACUUAAUUUAGUAAAAUAGGGAGGGAGGUAGCUUAAUAAGAGAGAGUUGGUAUGCAGAAAGCGGCGGUGCUAUCCAUAGAUAGGAUUCUUACCGGCCCAUCGGUUUAGAAAAGGGAAGACAUCAAACUCCUAACAGGAAGCUGCAGCCAAUUUGUUGACAAGCCAACCCAUGCAAACUAAAGAAUAAAAGUAACAGCAGAUAACAAAUAUGUUUGGCCUUGUGGGAGGAUAAUGGGCAAAUGCGGAUACCAGUUUUAUACAUGCAACUAUGCAAGGCCAAGGCCACCCCAACAGUUCAGGUACCAGAUAAGAAAAGAACACGUAUAUAUUUACAAACAAUAUUAAGUGUCCAACACAAACUCCCCCAGAAAACAAUAAUCUCUCGACCUGAAAUUCCCUUUACAUACCAAAAUACUCACUCACCGAGGGCCACUUGAAUAGCACCCUUUAGUGCCUAGAGAAUAUCAGUGGUGUCUCCGCCUUUCCCCCGAAAAAAUUACAUCACCAGUGUCAAAAUUCUAGCCGUUUUAAGGAACAAAUCAAAGAAGACAGAACAAGUAAAACUUAGUAAGUAGCUAGGACGGAUGACAAUUUAUACCAACUUUUAUUGUUCAUAUUUCUCCUUUUUAUUCUUGUUAUGGAGAGAGGUCACAAAGUUUCUCAAUGUUUUGCCUCAAGGAAGCACAGCUUUAACUUCUUUCCUAUCUGCUCCACAGUCCUGCCAAAGGAUAAGAUAAUAAGUGAGAACAAGUUCUUUUUUGGACAUAUAAUUUUUUAUUAAGAAAAGAGCCGCCGAAACUAGGACAACAACCAUCUACACAGGUGCAUACAAGUGAACAGGUUAUAGCCACUUGCAACUGUGUAAGCAAUCUUAACAAUGAUUACAGACCAGAACUUGUAUGAAAAUAUCUCUGCAUCUGUCUAACUACUAAAUUUUUGAAGAAUUAGUAGACAUGAUAAUUUUGGUAUGACAGGUAAAUAUGGAGAAUAAAAAGCGGACCUUUUCUUACCUACACAAAUUUGCAUAUUCUUGCAGGUUUUUAGGGAGCCUAUUUUAGGGGAGCAUAUUUCUACGUUUAACAGAGACUUUUAUUGUUCUUCAUCCCUAAAUGGAAUCAAUGUUUUUCUUAUUAGUAAGAAAAUCAACAUAAAACAUAAGCUUUCAAAAUAUUUCUGGGCUUCAAAAUAUAUGUACUGUCUCACCAUUUCCUUAAGUUUCAACAUCUUUCACUAGUAGUAUAUGUUUAUUCAAACCAUUUUGACGAAGGAUCAUCAUUCUAAAUGUUACAGUGAUUCGGGUGCACGUGAUGGGUAUUUUUUUAAGUUUAGGUGUCAAGCUUGUUGCAACGGUCAAGUGCCCUUGGUAAUGGAUUCAAGUCCUUCAAUAAAUACAGUAAGGUGGACACACUGGAAUUUGUGACAGUCAAGUGCUUACUUGUUAAAUGCUUGGCAAUGGGUUCAAGUCCUUCGAUAAUAUGCCUCUGAGUACGAGCUUUACUCGAAAAGAUGGACACACUGGAUUUGUUAUGGGGAAGUAACAAAAAAACGUCGAGUAAUCAUCAGGGGUUCAAAAGUCGUGGAAACAAAAUCUACUAUUUUCAAUAUAAUAUUUUUGGGAAAGAUACAGUAGUUUUAUUUACUUAUGCGCUCACUUUCAUCACAAAUUAAAACCCAUACAUGACAAUCAUUACAGGAUGGAGAUGGUAUCUCGGCGAAUUCCACAUUUUUGGAAAGCUACAGAAACCAAAGUGUUUCAUACCUGUUUCCCAUAUUAGUUUAUACGCUACUUAGCUUAACCAAAUUCCUCAAUCUAAUGGUGUAGGGAUGCACCUAAAUAUUCAAAUUGGAUAAUAUUCUGCUUUUAUUUCCCCAAACUACGUAUGUUUAUGUAACAAGGUUAACUAAGCAUAUACAUCUGAAUCCUUCCUAAGCACUUAGGAUUGUAGACCACAACAAGAAAGUUCCUUUAUUAGUGGUCUAGCAAAUUUUGCCAGGCAGCAAAGCAUGUGUGUUGGACCAGAUAUUUGGUAUGCAACCCAUGCACAUACCUGGUGUGGGAACUUCACAUCGUUUGAUAAUGGAUGUUCUUAGUCCCAGAGUUCUAUACAUAGAUCCUAUAGAAUAUCACAUCUUAUUCUGAAAUUAACAUUACCUCCGGUGCUCCACCAGUAACAGGUCAGUGACAUCAAGUAACACUUGAACAUUUUAUAUGUGUAUAUAUAUAUUUGUCAUGUUAAACAUUAUAUACUACAUGUUAAUAGGUCAGUGACAUCAAGUAACACUUGAACAUUAUUGAUUUGAUUAUAAAGAAAUUCUCAUCAAUCAGUAAAUCAGGAGAUAGAAUCUACCUCAACUCCAUAUCAUUUCACGUAAACAUUGGUGAAGAGUUCAGAUGGAUCUGGCAUUGGGCUUUCCUACAUAAACCGAAAAGAAAAAUAGAUUGUUGAUCACCAGUUAUUCAAAUAAAACAAGUUUUCAUAAGUGUCAAACUAGAACUAAUAAUUGUUUUAGGAGAAAAACCAUGACAUGAGUCACACCUUAGCUUGAGCAAUGGCUUCAUCAACCUCCUUUCUUUUUUCCUUCUCUAUAUCCUGAAAAAGAGAAAUGAAGGAAGUGGUAUGCCUGUUAUAAAGUUGUUUGUCACACAAAAUACUAGAACAAACUUUCAAUUAUGAUAAAGACCUAAGUAGUUAACCAAAAAAAAAAUAAGGCCUUGAAAAUACAAGGCUAUUAAAGAGUAAAGUCAAAUUUACAUAUCGAUUUUUACCUUCAAUUCCUUUUCAGUGGCUAUAUCAUGAGCUAAUAUUAGCUUUCUUAUUCUUUCAAUUGGAUCACGCUCCUGCAAGUCAAAAGUAUAUCCAAAAAACAUAUCAUGUGAGGGUUGAGACUUACAAAAAUAAGCACAUGUUUGGCAACUAUUUUCAAAAACUCUCAAAAUACUUCAUCGUGAUAAUGUGGAAAAUAGACUUAUCAAAGAAGAUGUGGAAACAUAAUAACUCUAAAACAGAUGCUUUAACAUUUGUUUUCUCAUCAUAAUAAUUUCAUUAUUUUCAUAUUAUAUCCCCCCUCCCCCCCCCCANNNNNNNNNNNNNNNNNNNNNNNNNNNNNNNNNNNNNNNNNNNNNNNNNNNNNNNNNNNNNNNNNNNNNNNNNNNNNNNNNNNNNNNNNNNNNNNNNNNNUUAAGUUGUAAAAUAGUUAAACUUCAAUUUUCAAUUACUUUCAACAAUAUUUUAACACACCAGCGGUGAACAGUGAACUGUUUAGGUGUAUUUAGCAGUUCUCAUUCAAAAAGGGCUUUUCAUAAGUUAAACUUCAAUUUUCAAUUACUUUCAACAAUAUCUUGACACACCAACGGGUGAACGAUUUAGGUGUAUUUAGCAUUUCUAAUUCAAAACAGGUUUUCAUAUCAUUUCCCUUAAAAAAAAGAACUGAAACACUGGCCACACACUUUCUGAAACAUUUAGAAAAUAAAACUAUAACACAAUUCGAAAAUGCUAACCAGAUAGGCCAUAAGUAUUUCAUUAAACAUAUCAUAGAAGAUAUAGAAUAUCCAACUUGUCUGACACCGCUAAUCUCAUCACGUGUCCGAUAUGUGCUCCCGGGAUCAGACAUAGAGUGACCAUGGUACCUAUAUGUAUCCAUUUCAAGGAUCUGAUACAGAAAAGAAAAGACAAGAGUAAAUACUUUCAUGUCUCAUGAGAAGAACUGAAUCAUAAACAUGAGUGGAUUUACACCCUAUGGCUCCUGUUCCAAUAAUAGCCAACUACAAGCAUGUGAAAGUACAGAAUCAACAAUUCAGAUAAGAUUAUCAAAUGUCACUUCACAACUCAACAUUCCUCUAUACUCAAUAGUCAAUAUGUAAUGUAUCCGUCUCGAAGUCCAUUUCAUAUAAAAGAACAAGAAAUUUAAAGGCGCAUGUCUAAACUACACAAGUCUCAUAUCUUGGGCUCACCCAAGUUUCUUAUACCAGAUCUCAUCAAAGGGAUAACGAAACCGUUAAUCAUAUUGCUGAACUUAAGAGCACCGCAACAUGAAGACAAUUGAGUUGAAUUUUGUCAUAUUAUUUAUGACCGAAUUGUUUAUACCAGGACCCAGAAUAUUUAUUGUUGAAACUGACGUACCACAUCAGACAAACUCAUGACAUAGGCUAAACCUGAAGAAAAUUCAGCCAGCCUACCCUAGCGUAGUUAUUUUCAAUGGAAGUUGUCAAACUUCAGCAUUUGUAAUUAUUUUUAAGCUUCUUAAGUAAAUUCAUAAUAAUCAAUUAACUUGCCAGAAAAAUAUUUUUCUAUCAGUAAUUGGAUAAAGAAUACUAAACUGAGGUAGAUAAGAUUAACUGUUAUAUGAUUCAAUAGUGAUAUCACAAAAGGCAUACUACAUUUACUUACAAGGGGUCCAUUCUUCAGUGCAUGCUCCUUAGCAAAUUUGCAAGCUUGUUUCACAGCCAAGGCAUCCAUACCAUCAACCUGCUCAAUGAUGUAAAACGUAUAAUAAAUGAUAAAUAAUAUACAAGAAUAACAGUAAGACAUGCGAUGACUGAAAAGGAGACCGUCCCAUCAUAUCUACUUACGCAUAGGACUCUAUACAUUACAAACUAGCCAAGCAAGGAUAACUUGCACAGGAUCUCCACGCACAACCGCCCCCUUCUUCCCCCACCGCUCACCACCCAAAAAAGUAAAUUCUUUAAAUUAACACACGUUUUCCUUCUUUUGACUAAUAUUCACUAAAAAUGCCAUUAUUUUGUCAAAGAGCGGCACCAACACUGAGCAACAAUUCAAACACAUUUUAAAUCAACAUUAUAAACAAUACAAUCACACCUUUAAACCAGGAACAUAAUCCCCUCUGGUAUAAUAUGCCGGACUCUUGGCAGCUCUCCAUUCAGCAGUACCCAUACCAUCUGCAACAAUAAUCCCAAUAAAUCAUAUUACUCGUAUAAACAUUCAAUUGAGCUAUCAAUAUCAUUUAUAAUUAGGAUACCUACAAUGAUUAUUCUCGCAAACCAAAAUAGCAGGCAAAUCCCAAAGAGCGGCCAUAUUAAGUGCCUCAAAUAGCUGCCCCUGAUUGGCUGCGCCAUCCCCGUACAAGGCAAAACUCACAUGCUCUUCCUUGGAAUACUUCUGAGCAAAAGCCAACCCAAUGCCUAAGGGCACCUGAGCCCCAACAAUUCCGUGCCCUCCAUAGAAUCCACUAUCUUUCUUGUAAAAAUGCAUGGAGCCACCUUUUCCUUUAGAGCAGCCAGCCUGUCGGCCCAUUAAUUCAGCAAAAGCCUCUAAUAGGGUUCCGCCGCGGCUUAGGAAGAUACAGUGGUCACGAUAAGCGGUGAUUAUGCAGUCCUUUUUGGUAAUUGCGGCUUCCAUGCCGAUGGCGACGGCUUCUUGGCCAUCGUAGAGGUGGCAGAAUCCUCGGAUUAGUUUGGAUUUGUAGAGCGAGUCGGCAGCGAUCUCCAUGCGGCGCAUCUUCGCCGUAUCGUGGAAGAAGGUCAUGAGUUCUUUUGGUGAGGUUUCAACGGAGCAGGAAGGGGGUUCGCAAUUGUGGCCGAUGAAGGGGACACUCGUUUCGACGGUGAUGGGUGUCGUGUCGGAUGAGAACGGGCGGUGUAGAGAUGGGGUGAACGAGACGGCGGUGAUCAGGGGUUUAAGGAGAUUGGAGCUCCGGUGGGCUAAAGCCAUCUCGAUUUUUCUUCUGUGAGGAGAAUGGUGUUUGUCAAGUGAAAAAAAUUUGUAUAUACUGCUGCUAUGGUUAGGUGUUCAUCGGUAAAAAAUAACUGUACCGCCACCCAAAAGAAUUAACCGGUGCCAACACUGAAUUCGGCUAAAUCAAAUAUUGGUACUAAUACCGGUCUGUGGAAUCAAAUACUGUUCAAGUAGCCGGCGAAUUAACUAAUUAAAUUGACGUAUUGUUCUGGCCCCGCGGUAAUUUUUGGGUUCGAUUUUUUUGAAUGUUUGAAUAUUGUUUGAGUAUGUGUGUAGAAAUUAAUAAAAAAAUUAACUAAUCAAAUAUAUAUACAAUAAAGUCGAUCGAAAUAAAUUAUAAAUAUCAUACCUACUAUUUAACAUCUUUAUUUCUCCUUUACUAUUUCUCUUUUACUACCUAUAAAAUUUAUAUACUUUCUAAUUUUGACAUAUUUUUUCUAUUAUUGACUGUUAUUAUUACUAUUAUUGGGAACCUAUUUUAAAUACGACUUCUUGAACAAGUAGCAUGUAAUUACAAAUAAAUAUUGAAGAUUCCUACAAUUAUCGCAAUCUCUCCCGCCAUGAGCACAACAUUCUCUCUCCUCUCACCUCACACUCACAACUUCUCGGUGCUUUCCCUCCCAAUCUCAUAUCUCAAAACCCCAACAUUUAAUCACACACUACGAUUUUACUCCUCCAGAACACUUAACGCGCCAAAACAUUAUCAAUUCCGAACCUUUUACAAGUUUCCAAAGCCAAUUUUCGCCGUAGACUCUCAGCUCUCCGAUGCCGACGAUGACGAUGAUGAGGAAGCCGCAGAGGAGUACGAAGAUGUUUCCGGCGAAGUGUCGGAAGGAAUCGAAGACGACAGCGAGGAAGAAAUUGAAGAUUUAUUGGACGGCGACGAUGAUGCACCAGAGGCAAAGUCUAAAUUCGAGGAAUUUAAGUGGCAAAGAGUCGAAAGACUCCGUAAUGAAGUCCAAGUGUUCGGUGAAGAAAUCAUUGAUGCUGAAGAACUCGCUUCCAUUUACAGUUUCCGCAUAGAUAAAUUUCAGGUUAUAACUGUUGGUUGUUCCUACACAUAUAACAUAUACAUAGCGAUGUCAAGUGCCCUGGUAAAACUAACUUUUCAAUUAAUUUCAAUAAUAACUUUAGUACAUGGGCUCUUGCAGCGGUCACAUUAUUGUGACCUAGCUUUUUGAAAUCGAUUUAAAUAACAGCUUUAAUACAUUUGUUCAGGGACAGUUGAGGUGUAUUUAGCAAAUAUUUAAGACAAACAUAUGUAUUUGAUCACUUGAAUCAUUCCACUAUAAUCACGUGACUUACAUAGUUACAACAUCAUCAGCAUAUUCCCGUUUAUACAUUAUCGAUCCCAAUUAUAUUUAUAUAUAUUUAUUGAGCACCUCUUGUCCCAAAAUAUUAUUAUACAUGCUAUUAUUUGUCUUACAUUGUUGAACUUGCACUCCAUAUGUUCUGUUUUGCUUUGGCUUACUUCAAAAUCCUCAGAUUUAUAAUGUACUUCUCCAUAUAUCUAACUUAGCAUUAACUACUGCCAUAGUCUAUCAAUUAACACCAUAUCAUUAGCAAAUAACAUACACUAUGACACUUUAUACCGUAUGCCUAUCGAUAGCUCAUCCAUAACUAAGACAAAAAGAUUACGUUUUGAUUCCUAUUGUUGAUGUACUCUUAACAUGUCAACACAACACAAGUAGUUGUUUUAGCAUACAAAUUCUUAAUCAUAUGAGCAUACUUUGUAGAAAGUUAUUUUUUCUCAAGAAUCCACCAAAUAAUCCAUCUCAGAACUUUAUCAUGUCUUUUCAAGGUCGAUGAACACCAUAUGUAGACCAUUUAAUACCCUCUAUAUAUUUUCAUCAGUUCUAUAAUUAAGAAAAUACCCUAUACAGUAAUCACCCUGACAUAAACCCACAUUGAUUAUAUGAUACUCUUGUCCCUAUUCUUAACCAAUGUUCAAUCACUCUCUCGCAACUGUAUUGUAUGGUUAUGACUUGUGAGCUUGAUCCUUCCGUUAUUAAAGCAAUUUUGAAUUUAUACCUUAUUCUUACAUUUUAGCACUAAAUUACUCAUCCUCCACUCCUUGAACAUAUAUUUAGUUUGUAGAAUCUUAAUCAACAGACCACUCAACCAGAUUAAGGUCACAUCGCCAAGCAGCUCCAAACUUCAGGCCCAUACAUGGUUUCAUGAUUUAUCUUCUUUAAAGCUUCCUUGACUUCGGCUACACUUUUGCACAAAAUUCCUAUUUUCAUCAUAUAAAAAAUCCCAGUUCUCUCUGAUUCAUGUGUUUAUAGACAUGUAUAAGUAUGUAAUUACUGAAUUUAUGUUUUGACUAUGUUUUUGCUAUAUUAAUGUAUAUAAAGACUUUUAUAAAUCUGUUUACCUUAAGUUUGUUGAUUUGGUAUGGUUUUGUUACGUUUCUUUUGUAUAGAGAUUGUCGAUUGAAGCAUUUUUGAAAGGUUCAUCAGUUGUGGUUUCAGCACCUACAAGCAGCGGAAAAACUUUGAUUGCAGAAGCUGCAGCAGUAGCUACGGUAGCUAGAGGAAGGAGACUAUUCUACACCACUCCUCUCAAGGCAUUAUCAAACCAGAAAUUCCGUGAGUUCCGGUAUGCAACACGUUAAAUAUGGUUAAUGAAUAACAAUCCGACUGUUCUGGUUGGAAACUAAGCCGAUGAAGAUGCAUCCACACACUUUCCCUCUAGUUGGGAUUAUAUUAUGUUAUGUAGAUUUCUAUUUGGAUCCGUCCAAUUCAAAAUGAAAAUCAUUUCUGUGUUAGUUUUUAGUGUUUCAUCAAACAUCAAGAUCUUCACGUUUCCUUAGAUAAUUCUAUAAGUUCUUCAAAAUGUAAUUCGUCAGUAUUUUGACAAAAUAAAAAGAAGUUGAUGUUUUUAUCAUGUAAUCAUGUUGUUUCCUCAGCGAGACAUUUGGCGAUAGCAAUGUUGGUCUUUUAACCGGAGACUCUGCAAUCAACAAAGAUGCUCAGGUCCUAAUCAUGACUACUGAAAUUCUCCGUAACAUGUUGUACCAGAGGUAUGACAUAUUAAAUUUGAUUUCCCUUAAGAAACCACACAUUAUUAGUCACAUUACAUAUUUUUGUUAAAACUAGAUUUCAACGGGUGUAAGUAUGUAUAGCAUCAUUAGUGACGGACCUCAGGCAUGGCCGGGGGCUGCCAUGGUCCGGUUCGAUUUUACAACAAUUUUAAUUUUACCCUUGAGCUUUUUGUUAAAUUUCUUUUAUAAUCCUAUAAAUUAUUGGUAUAAAAACAUUCCAUCCGUUCUAAAAUAUAAGAUUAAUUUUAAUAAUUUUUAAAAGUAAAUUUGAGAUAUUUUUAAUUUGUUUUAAUAAUGAUAACUCUUGAAUUAGUAGUACUUUUUAAUUAGUGUACAAUUUUUAUACUUAUUUGUGUAAAAUUAAUUGAAUUCAUUUCAGUUUUAAAUUUUAAAAUAUCUCAAAUUGCUUUCAAGAAUUCAAAACUAAUCCUACAUUUUAAAUUAAGUGGGAUAUUCUACUAUCAAAAUGUGUAUAAAAAUAUUGUGCGGUACAAUAAAUACUUUUUCUAGUUUUUUGCAUGUUUACAAACAAAACUAAUUAUUAAAUUAAUAUUGUAUAUGUUUUUAUAGAUAUUUGGCCCCUCCCAAUAUGAAUUGUUGGUUCCGCCCCUGAGCAUCAUAUAGUUCAAUACAUUCAGUUAACAUAUAACUGCUACAUCAUUUAGUUGGGUCCAGUACAUUGUUUCAAUCAAAAUUCAAAUGUGCUCAAGUACCCAUGCAUUCACCCAUUCAUCUCGCUACUAUGCUUUAGUAGGAAGUCUUUAAUUUUUUGCAGGUUAUUUUAGUUCCAAAAUACAGUUGCCACUUACUACAUAUUCCAUAGAUGUUGACUGAAUUAAUAACUCACAUCAGCAUCGUUGUUUCUUUUCAAAUCCUUAUGCAGUGUUGGAAUGGUUUCAUCUGAAAGUGGACUUUUCCAAGUUGAUGUUAUUGUUUUAGAUGAAGUACAUUAUCUAAGUGAUAUAUCUCGGGGUACAGUUUGGGAAGAGAUCGUGCGUAUUUUUUAUUCUCCUGGUUGUUUUUCUGUCCAUGUCUCUCCCUUUUGCUUUAAAAGAAUCAUAAGUAACUGCUGAUUACAUAUUAUUGCAGGUUAUUUAUUGCCCCAAAGAAGUUCAACUUAUAUGUCUGUCAGCAACUGUGGCUAAUCCUGAUGAAUUAGCUGGUUGGAUUGGUCAGGUACAUAGUUAUCUAUUAUUCUUCAUUAUUCCUACCUUUCUGGUUAUGUUGAACCUUGCCAAUCAUAUCUAAAUGGUUAUUCAGAGUACAUCAAGUGUUUCUUCCGUUAUGAAUCUAGUAUCGAAGCCGACCUUUGGUUUCUAUAUUUCAUAACUCAAUCUAUAACUAGUUAUAGUUUUCUUUCAACUUGGUCAUAUAUUAUCACGGGGCACCUUUUCUUCCCCACUUUUAUGCCAAGUCUCAAGUAGUACACAUGAUGAUUUGUUGUUCACAUAUAUUGCGUCCAUCACAAACAUUGUUAUUAUUUCUUAGUAGGUGAUCUCAGUUAGCAAUGUUCUGUAUUUAGUGACAAGACCAUGUUCACCUAUACUAAACAUUUCAAUUGUCUGGAUGUUAAGCAGUUAAUGUAGUGUCUCGGGCCCCAGAUGUUGUGAACGUAUCAGUGUGAAUGACUUAAGGUAGGUUACAGAAAAGAAAGAAGAGGACUGUUUUAACCUAGUAAAGUUAGAAACUGUAUUCCUGGCCUUUGGAGGCUUUUUAUACCUACAUGUUGAGGAAUAUGACGUCUCAUGAGUUUCAAUAUGUGCUGAUUAGAAAUCCUAGAUUGGUUUUGCAUGAAAUGAUGGAAACCGUUUCAUACUAAAAGUCAUAGAACAUUAUCAAGUUGUAUUUCCUGAAUCAGUUCUGUAAUUUUUCUUUUAUUAUUUUGGUCUCAACUAAUUAAAAUCAUAAAGCUCUCACUUUUGCAUUGCUUCCUGUUUUCAGUUUUCAAUUUAGAAUGAUAUGUCCUUGUAUACUUGUGUGUCAUUUCAUCCCUUUUAAGGGAUCAGGGUACUUGGAUACCCUACUCAGAAUUGAAGCAUUGUUGCAAGAAUCUAUGUUGAAAUUUCAUUAAAGUUAACACUAUCCUGUUUGGGACCAAGGAAUCUUUUUCAUAUAUUGCAUUACCGGUGACUUUUGUCAAGUCAGUUGUGUGGAGUUACUAGAGGAAACACUUGGGUACAUGUUGGAAAACAUGUACACUUACAUGACCCAACAAGAACACCUGCAUAGACUGCAUAGAGUUAUAUUGCUUGUUCAUAUGUUGUUUUAACCAUGGCACAUAAUUUUCUUGUCAAGGGUACAUUAAAUGUGGUUAAGUCCUUCAGGUUGUGAAAAUGUUAUCCAGUUGAGGGUAUUUGGAACAUUUGAGCACUAAUAUAUGGUAAGGGAAAAGGAAUUUAUUAAGUUAUUCCAUAGGAUAAAUGCCUGUGAGGUUAUGUGAUGUAGGCAUGUAGCAGUAGAUAUUUAUUUGACAAGUAUAUGGCUGGUUAAGGCCACAAUAACAGGUUGGUUUAGAGUGCUUAAAGGUUUGAAAAAUGUAUCAGGAUUUAAGGCAUUAUUGAUAGAAAAUGGUUCAUAAUUUGACUCGUCUUUGACAGUGGUACAUUGAUUGAGCUGCAAAAGUAGUAUAUAGAAUUAUAGAAUAUAGAUAGGCCUUGGCAGAGGGGCCUUAUAAAUCAGUUCGCAUGAAUGGCUGGGCUUCAAGUAGGUUGUGGUUUGGCUAAGAGAAAAAUGGAUAGCUAUAGAAGCAUGCUUUCAGGUGCUUCAUUAAUCAAGAGGGAAUAAAAAACCUAACCAGCUAGCAAGCAAUUCCCUUUUUAUUUUUUAAAGAUUUUAAGUGGGCAUGAGAAGCAGAAGAUCAAUAAUUGCAGCUCUUCACAUACAAAUAUGUCACCAUUACAUUAUAUCUUUCACUGUUGAUCUCUACAAGAUAAUUGAGUCCUUUCAGUAUAACAACUCAGUAUAUAUAUAUAUAUAUAUAUAUAUAUAUAUAUAUAUAUAUAUAUAUAUAUAUAUUUAAAUUCUUAAAUAUCAUGAGCUCCUUGUAUGAUAGUUAAAUCUGGACAUUGAACUAAGACGUUUAUACUUUUAGGGAAUCGGAUCUCUGAAAUUUCUUACUUGUACAAGAGGACACUUACAUUAUUUUGCUGUAUUUUUUACAUGAUAAUGUUGUCACGGCGUCGCCAUGGCGACACCUAGGCUUCGUGGCAAAACAACAAACAACAUGGUGACGCUCGCCUUGGGGGAGGCUGCCAAGAUGCUCGCCUUGGGGGAGGCUGCCAAGGCGCUCGCCUUGGCAGCUAGGCGUCCACAAGUCGUCACCGAGGCGACGCCGUGUAGGCAAGGCGAGCGCCUUGGUAGCUGGGUUGAUUUUAAGUUGGCUUAACCACAAUCUUGUGACCCAUAAACUUUACCCAUGACUAGUCGGAUUAAAAGAGAGAAGAAAAUUGAAAGUCUUUUGCAUAUUUUAUUUUUGUCAAUUGGGAAGAGAGGCCCUAAUCACAACUGUGAAGAAAAGCUCUAAAAGACUUCGAGGUGAAUGUGACGCUAGUCGCCGAUGGCAGCCACACAUGCAGGUUGUAGCACUGUCGACCGCAAUCUUUUGUUGCAGAAAGAAAAAAGAAGAAUACAAAAAAGAAGAUUUGAAAGAAAAAAUAAUGACGGGGUGAAGAUUUUUUUCUGCUAGCCACUUUUGUUCCCUCUCUUUUAAUUUGAUUGUCUGCUGCAAUCCACUUAGCUCCCUAACAAAAACAUAAUUGUUGUGUUCCACAUGUUGGGUUCCUACAAGCUAAGCCAAUAUUAAUUUUUCUUUUUAACAAAUAAUAAAUAUUUCUUCUUCUUUUUUCAUAAAAAAGUAGUAAAUUAAUUAUUUUGUUAUUUUUAAAAGUAACAUGUAAUAUUAGUUGCAAUUGAGUUUAAUUGCAUGUACAAUUUAAACCCUUAAAAGUUAUAAUUUUGACGACAUAAAUCAUUAAGUUCAUGAAACUUCAAAUAAUUUAAAUAAAUAUAUAAACAAUUAUUUAUUUCCUAAAUUAAAUAUAUAUUGCAUGUUCGUUUAAUGUAUUUUUUUAGUGCAAGACAUGAGAAACAAGCAUGAAAAAAUUGAAUAGUAAUUGUGUUUUAUGUUUGAUUGUUAAGAGUGGAUAUAAUUAUAUUUUUAAUGAUACUCCAUGAUAUUAGUUAUUAUAUUUUGGUGUGUAAUGUAUAUGAAAUUUCAUUGUUCAAUAUACUUUUAAUAUAAAAUAAAUAAUGUUUAAAUUGCAUACUGUGAACUACUUGUCGCCAUAUGAACGCCAUUGUGAGCGCCUUAUCGCCUAGGCGUUCCGAUGGUCAGCUACUGUCGCUCCUCGCCGUGGCGCCGUGACAACUAUGAUGAUAAUAUCCUGGUUAUUGUUAAAAAAGUUAAAUGAUGGUGUAAGUGAAUUCUCAAGGACUUACUUUCUCUUUUCUCAUGUUGCUUCACGGUGUUUCUAGAUUCAUGGUAAAACUGAGUUGGUAACAUCAUCCAAGCGUCCAGUACCAUUAACUUGGCACUUCUCUACAAAGACAGCUUUGUUACCCCUUCUUGAUGAAAAAGGAACCAGCAUGAAUAGGUAAUCUACACAGUACAUGGUGUUCAAAUAAGUUUAUAGAUUUUCAUUUGUUUAUUGUUUUUACAGUAGUUAGUGCUGCUAGAAUAUUCAUUUAAUUAUCAAUGAUUUGGUAUUUUGAAUUCAAUUUCUCUUUGAUAUGAUAUUUCUUGUACUGAAAUCUCUACGAUGAGAGAAGAUAUAGGUGACUAAUAAUUGAGUUAGGGCAUUGUUUAGACUAAUUAAAUAUUAAAAUCCUGUUCAAAGAUUCUUCAUGGAUGUACAAGCAAAGCAAAUCAAGUCAAAUAAUGUUUCAGAAUAAGAUUUAUAAGUUCUUCCAAGACAUUUUGAAAUAUAUCUUUCUUUACUUUGUUGCUACAUAUUGUUAAAGGUUUAUAAGUUUUCAAUUCUUGAUGGGAAUUAAUGAAAAAUUUCAUGAAGUCUUGGGAAGAACAAGAAGAAUAUACAUGGUUUAAACAAAAUUUAUUGUUUAUGUUGACACUCACUUCCAAUAUUUGAAGUUUUGAACAUUAUAAAGUUAAGUAGUUUACUAAAGGUCUCACUAUUUUUUUCAUUGUCGUACCCUCUCCAACACCACACCCAGGCCAUCCUAAUCAAAUGAGACAUGGAUUGAAGUUUCUAGUGUUAAUAACUUUGCAAUUUUUGUGUCCAACUGGAUCAGGAAGCUGUCAGUCAACUAUUUACAACUAAAUUCAUCAGGAGUUAAAUCAUAUGAGGAUGAGGGAUCUAGGAGGAAAUCAAGAAAAAAACGUGAGACUGACAUAUCUCCUCUUUCGAAGAACGACAUGAACACCAUUCGCCGUUCACAAGUAUGAAUGAAAUCUGGUUCAUGAUACGUAAUCAUGCUUGAUAUAUUAUCUUGAGUAAGACCAUGUGUGCCUCUAUACCUUCAUAAAUAAUGAGCCUGUUAAAAUUUUAAUUUUCAGGCUCCUCAAGUUAUAGAUACAUUGUGGCACCUUAAGACUAGGGAUAUGCUGCCGGCAAUUUGGUUUAUCUUUAGCAGGAAAGGAUGUGAUGCAGCUGUUCAAUAUCUUGAAGAUUGCAAGCUUUUGGAUGAGCAUGAGAUGGCUGAAGUUGAACUGGCUUUAAAGAGGUUGCGUACAAAGUAUCCUGAUGCUGUGAGAGAGUAUUCUGUAAAGGGCCUUCUCCGAGGUGUUGCUUCCCAUCAUGCUGGCUGUCUGCCUCUUUGGAAAUCUUUCGUGGAAGAGUUGUUUCAACGUGGACUUGUAAAGGUUGUUUUUGCUACAGAAACUCUUGCCGCUGGAAUUAAUAUGCCUGCUAGGACAGCAGUCAUUUCGUCUCUUAGCAAAAGGAGUGAAAGUGGACGCAUACAAUUAAGCACAAAUGAACUACUUCAAAUGGCUGGGCGUGCCGGACGUAGAGGCAUUGACAAAAAGGGUCAUGCGGUUCUGGUUCAGACUCCGUUUGAAGGGGCUGAAGAGUGCUGCAAGAUUCUCUUUGGUGGACUUGAACCUCUUGUGUCUCAGUUUACAGCGUCAUAUGGAAUGGUGCUAAAUCUUCUUGCAGUAUGUACUUUGACCUAUUGUCCUUUUUUCCCCUUAAGAACUUUGAUGUUGAUGGACUUUGCUGAAAGGUCAAGUGUUCUGUUUCUGCAGGGUGCAAAAGUUACUCGUGGAUCGAGUGAAGCAGAUGACCUUCAAAUUUCUCAAGCUGGACGAACCAUGGAUGAAGCGAGGAAGUUAGUUGAACAGAGUUUUGGAAAUUAUGUAGGGAGCAAUGUCAUGAUUGCUGCAAAAGAGGAACUCAAUAAUAUAAAAAGUGAGAUUGAGAUGCUAACUUUAGAAGUUAGUGAUGAAGCUGUUGACCGAAAGAGUAGGAAGGUGCUUACAGAAAUGGCAUAUAAGGAGAUUGCCGAUUUGCAGCAAGAAUUAAGGGUACCUUAUUUCACAUUCCAUGGGAUUUUUAAUUUCACUCUGUUGUAUAUUACGGUUUCUAAUCCAUAGCUAGUUUUUAAUGUCUGUUCUAGUAAGCCAGAGUUUAUGCAUAAAGUUUUUCUUCUCUCUUCAUGAAAUAAACAUAUGGUCUCAUCUUUACUUUCAUGCUUGUUAAAUUUUUAUCGCUCUUGUUUAAAUUUGUACUUGGUUUCCAACUAAAUAGAAGUCUUCAGUAUCAUUCUUGUCCAAAGACCAUAUAACCUACUGAAGACAUAUUUUUUAUUUUUAUAAUCAGGAAGAAAAGCGUUUGCGGACUGUCGAACGAAAGAGGAUGGAACUGGAGAGGGCGUCUUCUUUGAGGCCUCUAUUGAAAGAGUUGGAUGGUGGAAGUUUACAUUUUAUGUGUUUGCAAUACAUUGAUUCUAAUGGAGUUCAACAUUUGGUCCCUGCUGUUCUUUUGGGAAGUAUUGAUACUUUAGAUGGAUCAAAACUUAAGAAGAUGGUAGGUGUUCUAUAUCCUGCCUUCGUGAGUUAAACCUUUUCUUUAAGCAACUAAAAUGUGCAAUGGACCCAUUUCAUUAACGGCAAAAGGUCUCAUCUAUCAACUUAUUCAAUUCUGCUAGUGGGGUUAGUCUUGUAUGUUAUUUUAUUGGGCCUUUGAGAUCUUUAGACUGUUUGUACAAUUUUUGUAUACAUCAUCUCCUUGAUUGAGAGCAGAUUUUUAAGUGCUUUUCAAUUUCAUCUUACAUACAGGUUUAUGCCAUAAAUGUAGAAGGAGAAGAAUGUUAUAUUGGUGAUACUGAAAGGAAACAUUAUUAUUAUGCGGCUCUUGGUUCAGAUAACUCUUGGUAUCUUUUCACUGAGAAGUGGAUUAAGACAGUUUACAAAACAGGCUUCCCUAAUAUUGCCUUGGCUCAAGGGGAUGCUUUACCUAGGGAAAUUAUGAUGAUGCUACUCGAGAAGGAGGAGAUGCAGUGGCAGAAACUAGUGGAAUCUGAACUUGGGGACCUAUGGUGUGGGGAAGGAUCCUUGGAGACAUGGUCUUGGAGUUUAAAUGUGCCAGUUUUGAAUAGUCUUUCUGAAAACGACGAGGUAAGUUAUAUAGGUUUAUAUCGCAUUACUGUUAGCCUCUAUAAUGCUUUUGUGAUGGUGUUUUGGAAUAUAUAAUCUACAAUUGUGGUGUAUCCAUGUUUUUGGGAAUCCUCUUUGACCCUUAAAGAUCGGAACAAGCUAUUUUAUCUAAAAACCUUUGCGGGAAAGACCAGUACACCUUGUAAUGGGACUAUAGGAGCUACUGUGGUGUUGCUGUUUUCUCUUUCUCUUAUCAUUAUCUAGGAUAUCUUUAUUCUAAACGAAUUAGCAACCUUUUGAUAUGCUUGUAUGCUACACCUUGACUACGCAGGCAACUCCAUCUGCUCAUCCAAAGUAAGUGCGCAAAAAAAAAGAAGCACAACUAUAAAUGCAUGCUUUUAGUUACCGAAUUGACAAAACAUAAUAGAGUUAUGUCCCCUCAAUUCUUAGUUAUGGUUGUUUAUUGCUCGACACCUUUAUCUACUUGAAGGACCCAAACUUCGAUUUCAUCAGCAUUAACCCAAUUUUUAAUAGUAGAUAGCAACUUCCUUCUAUUGUCAUUCUAGUUUCCAAAAGUAAUAACUCCCUUUACACUAGGGAAUUGAAGACCUGCGCAUUUCCUACAAAGCUGAAAUUUUGAUAUUGUGUCCUAAUAGUUCUUUGAAGUAUUACAUUUUAUUUGUGGCCAAGUUUUGCUGAAAUUAGAAAAGUUCAUUUUCUAUCUGAGUUUGAUAAUUUACUAAGCUUUUUCAUUGUUAGGUACUAAAAUUCUCGCAAGCAUACCAUGAUGCAGUAGAAUGUUACAAGGACCAAAGAAAUAAAGUUUCCCGAUUGAAGAAAAAAAUAGCACGUACAGAAGGUUUUAGAGAAUAUAAGAAGAUUGUAGACAUGACCAAGUUUACCAUGGAAAAGAUUCGACGCUUGAAGUCUAGGUCAAACCGCUUGAGUAAUCGUAUAGAACAGAUUGAACCAUCUGGUUGGAAGGAGUUUCUGCAGGUAAGAUGAGCAUAUUAAGUAAUCUUUUGUAUAUGUUAUUAGCUUUAAAAACAUCCUUGGUUUUGGUUCAAAUGAGAGAUGCAUAGAAUUUUUAACUAACAUUAAUUUAGAACAAGGACAUGGCAUUUAGUAAAUUUCUGAGAAUUCUUUGCCGGGAAAUAAUAAAAUGGCCAUUAUUCAGUAACUCCUUAAUAGUGAGGAUGCUGGCUGAUCUCAUAUUUAAUUCCCAGGUAAAUUUACUGGUGCACCAGCAGUGGCCCCUCAAAAAUGUUUCUUAUUUGAUCUUUUAUGGUUGGUACUGAACAUUUUCACACUUCUAUAAGAUUGACGAAUUUCAGUCAGAUACUAUAUCAUUGAGGUGGUAAAGGGUGUUGAUGGUUACUUCACAUUGGCUCAGCAACACAUGUUUUCUCCAGGGAUCCUUACUCUCUUUUUUUCUUUCUUUUUUCUUUUUUUAAACUGACCGGAUUAACUUUUAAAAUUAGAGUCCUGCUAUAAUACGUUUACCAUACCUUUAAUCACUUGGAAUUUGGUGAGCUUAGAAAUUUAGAAACGAAAAACAAAUUAAAAUACAAUUACAAUGUUUUGCGGAAACAGUUGUUUUUAGCUCAAUCUACAAAGUUUAACCUUGUUUUCUGGAUCCUUGUACUGAAUAGGUAAUUGUUUUUUCUUCUUCUUUCUUUUCUAAUCUGUAAAGAAUAUGGUUAUUAAUGAUUUGGGCUUCUGAUGAAACUUUAUAAUCUUUUUUCACAAUGUUUCCAGGUCAGCAAUGUCAUCCACGAAAUUAGGGCACUGGAUAUCAAUACACACGUGAUAUUUCCCCUUGGUGAAACUGCAGCUGCAAUUCGUGGAGAAAAUGAACUCUGGCUUGCAGCGGUUCUAAGAAAUAAAAUCUUGUUAGAUCUAAAACCUGCACAGCUUGCUGCUGUUUGUGGAAGUCUAGUUUCUGAAGGGAUUAAAAUUCGGCCUUGGAAAAAUAACAGGUAUCAUAUUUAUUUUCUUUACGACAUAGUGUACUUUUUAGGUGAAUGAGCUUAGAUUGCUCUUCAUGGCUACUAUCAGGGGCGGAUCUAGAAAAAUUUCCCAGUAGGGGCGGAUUUUAAUUAUUUUUUUUUAUUGAAUUUAAAUAAAGAAAAUUUAAACUAAUCAUAAUAUUAAGUAAUUAUAAUAAUGUUUACAAAUUGCAAUAAAUAUUCAUAAUCCAAACUAAAAAAGAAUUUUAAAUAAAAAACAUUUAGAUACAAUUUACAAACUUAUUUCGGUUACUUGUCAUAGCUCAAUUUGAAUGAUUCUUCAAAUGCUCAAAGCCUCAAACCAAAUUUGCUUUCUAUUCAAACAAAACCAUGAAUUAAUUUCAAAGCAUAAACUAUUUUUGGUAUCUUUUUAUAAAUUUUUUUCAAGAGAAACAAACCAUCCAAAAUUUAUACUCAGAACACCAAAAAUUAUACAGAGUCCAUUAGUUAGAUUCAUUUAAAUAAAGUAAUUAUAACAAAUAGAAAUGAGUGGCUGCUAAAAGCUCAUAGUCAUUUUCCAUUAUAAAAUAAAGCAAAAUCAUUGUUAGCUAUUGUUAUGUAAAAUCUAAUUACGCACAACACGUAAGUAUACGUGGUCAACAAGUAAUAAAGUGAAAGUAGAGUAUCGUUCCCACGAGGAAUUGUUUAAUAAAAAUCACCAAGUACUAACCCGUAACCAGCUCAAUCUUAUUUAAACGAAUGAAUUUCAAUUUAUAAGUAAUCUAAUUCUAAUUAUCACUAGUUAAAUUAAGAUUACGGAGAUUUAAGAUCACAACUUCACUUAUUGCUUCAUUUAAGUUAACACACUUCUCAUCAAUUAUUUUCUAUCCUGAAUUGUUAAUCAAGAACACUAAAGAAGAUAAAACCACCUCUCGAUACAUAAUACUCAUACUCACUUAAACCCACAAAUGAUAGAAUUAAGCAAGACACCCUAAUUAACUAAUCCACUAUAUCUCUAUGUGAAUUACAAUUAAAAAGGAUUUAAAGCACAAGUUCUCUAUAAGAUUACAUAUGGCGUAAAGGAAUAUCUCUAUCCUAAACACGAAUCAUGAAUUUCAUCUAUGCAGAAAUCACAAACACAUGUCAUCAUGAUAAGAUCUAAAUCAAUACUUCAACUCUCGAGUUCAUAUAGAUUAUCACGGUAAUUGAUAGCUAGGCAAUUAAGCAAUUAAGUCCAAAUCACAAUAGACAAUCCUCAUGAUAGAACAUAAUAAUUGAUAGCGAAGCAUAUUAAAAUAAACUAUAUAAUAAGAUUCAUUGUAAUCUCAAACAAAGAAUUAGUUCAUGAUUAUUGAAUUAAAACUAAGAAUCCACAAUUGAAUAAACAAUAAAAGACAAAGAUAGAAGAAGAUGAGAAGAUAGAAUCUAUUGUCUGUAGAUUUGAAGCUCCCUCUUUGCUCUUACUUUGAAUCUUCAAUGGUCUCCAAGUUGUUUCAAUCUCCAAAUCUCAUAAGAACUAAGGUUUUGAUCUAAUCUACUCUAAUCUAAUCUAAUCUAAUGAAAUCCUCUCUCUCCCUAAUCUCAUCUCUAAUCCUUGUGAUUCUUCUCCUUUUAUAUGCCUAUUUAUAUGUCUUUAAGUCCUCUUGGAAGUCCUUGAGUCAAUCGGAUUGAAACAAUCCUUCCCGAACUCAAAUUUGGACAAAAACCGAGUUUUCCGCGCGUACCCCCGCCCCAGCGGGGGUCUAGCCUUGUAAAAGGCUCGCCCCGGUGGGGGUCCCUACUAUUUUCCAGCUGGUAUGCCCGCCCUGGCGGGGGUUUUGUGAAAGAAAAGCCCGCCCCGGCGGGGGUCCCUUUUCUGCUCUGACAUCUUUUAGGAAAACGGCCAUAACUUUUGAUCCGGAAAGAGUUACGAGGCCUGCCACCUAUUAAAUCGAAGAUAUUGACGAGCUCUACAACUUUCAUUCUUUGAGAAUUGACAGAUUCAGAUUGGAUGAAGGUCAAAAUUGGGCUGGAAGUAGAUGCUAUGUAAAUGGCCACCCAAAACAGUGAAUUUCGACGUCCGUUGGUACAAAGAUCAUAACUCUUGCAUCCGAACUCCGAUUGGAAUUAUUCAAGUUGUUCCGGAAAGCUAAGAAGAAGCUCUACAAUGUAAUCCAAGUUCCAAGCCAAAAACAUGAAAUGAACAUGAAAUCCCAAAUGAAGUUCGAAUUGUUUUUUUUUGCGAUUUCAUACCAAUUCUUUGCGAUUUCAGCUCCCAAGCAUAUAAUCUACAAAACGAACACAAAAUGAAUGAAAAGUAACUAAGAAACAUGAGAUUAAGCAACUAAUUCAAGUAACAGAUAUCGGAUAAAUAGGUAUAAAACCUACUUAUCAAAUACCCCCAAACUUAAACAUUUGCUUGUCCUCAAGCAAAAACACAAAACAACAAUGUUAUGCAAUGCAACUAAUCUACAUGCCUAUGAAUCCAGCAGUAAUGACAAAAACAAGUCUAUUCAACCGGCCUUAGAAAAAUCAAGUAAACGCGAUAAUACAUCAUAUUAAAACUCAUCAGUAACUUCCCAAUCAAUCAUCAAAUCUUAGACUGUUAUCACUAAUAUAGUGCAUGUGUGCUCCACAACAAUGUUAACUAAUAUAAAAUCAAAUUUAACACAUAACAAGUCUCUUCGAAGGAAUCAUACAGUGUAAACUCAAGAAAUCCAAAAACAAGCUAGAUCCAACUAAAAUCAAACAAUUACCAAUAUCGAGGGUCAACAUAAGAUACUUAUGCUUUAUUUUUCAUCCACGGGGGUUUUUUGCUCUUAUUUCCCGUUUUAUUCUUUUUUUUUCUUUUGGUUUAUAUACACAUAGCUUUGCAAUGUCUUAUUCUCUUAGGCUUUUCAAUGCUACCUUAACGAGCUUUUGACCAACGACUCCCAGACUAUUAAGACCUUAGGGCGCUAGGUGUAAAGACAAUCCUCUCGGGCUUACUUACUCAAGUAACAAAGGCAACAAAACUAGACAAGCACGCCACGGUGUUUAUUUAUUUUUUUCUUUUUUUUUUAGCUUAUAUACCCCAAAUAUUCCCCCAAACUUAGGUUUUUAUCUAACUUUAGCCAUCACUACUUAUUCUUGUUAUUCUUUCAUUCAAACUAGCAUUAUCCUUUAGAGUCCCAUUAUGUAUCAAUUUAAACUCAAUCAAUCAACAAGUUGUUUUUAUUGUGUUAUCCUUAUUAUACCAGUUUCAAACAGAAAAAGACUCAAUUCAUAACAAGGAAUCACAUCAAAGCUCUAAUAGUCAAUACUAUACUUGUCUACUCAAUUCCAAUUUCAUCAUUGGCCAAAAUAAACUUAAACUAUCUAACAACUGGAUUCAUGCAAAUGAACAUAGUAACUAACUAAUAUUUUUGAUUUUUUUUAUAGACAUAAAUAAAAACUAUUUACAACUAUUCUACUAUGCAAACUAUUAUGCACUUACACUACAUGAAUGCAAACAUAUAAUAAUCCUAAACUAAACAAACAUGACAACUUAUGCAAAAUUAAAACAACUACAUUAAACAUGCAAAACCAAACUAAUUAACUCCCCCAAACUUAACAAUUACAAUGUCUUCAUUGUAAAAUAAAGCAUGAAGUGGACGAUGACUUCCCUGUAAUCAUUUAAGCGUGAGGUGAUGGUGGCAUGGCACAAAGACUGAAAAAUCCUCCACUUCGGAAUUUGAAAGGAAGAUAUUGUGUCAUGGGCUCAGGCUGGUGGCUUCCCUUUCCAUAAUCUUUUGCUUGUCCAUUGAACCUCCAAUACAUGCAAUGAAGAGAGACAACAUAGAUUAGAAUAGCACUUUGGAUUGGUAAGAGAACUUAAUAAGCAAAUUAAUUCUUAUCUACUAAAUAAACUAAUAAAGCAAAUAAAUAUAAAAAUUCCAGGGUUGCCUCCCAGUUAGCGCUUGAUUUACAGUCUUUCAGCCUGACUUUGUCUGGCCAACACUAUCCAAUUCCUCUUCGAUAGUUGAGGAACCCUCCAUCCAUCGGAAAUAAUGCAGCUUUUGGUAGGUUCCCAUUUGUGAUGGCUAUCGAAUUAAAGUCACCUAGCAUGCUUUGUUUAGAUAAGAUCACAUUCAAGAACGUCCAACAUCUAGGUGUUUUCUCCAUUGUGUCUGCGAAUAGAUUCUGGCAUUGAAGCUUGUCAGACACAACAAUCUCUUCUUCUAUCUUCUCCAGCUCAUCGCACCAUGGCUUCGAAGUUGUACUCGCUUUUACGUCACAAGGAGUAUUGCCGACGACAUGACUACCUAGCGGACAAGGUUUUACAAAUCUAACCGGAUCCUUGAACUUUGGUGGAGAAGGCACUUGAGGCUUUAAUAACAUCGACUCAUCCUCGUUAGUACUCAUAGUUAGUUCAUCCCCACUUGUCUCCUCUUUUUCAACAUCUCGUGUCUCAUCCAGUUGUAGAUUUGGUUUGGGCACUUCAUCAAUCUCGGAAUCCUCGUCAUAACACCAAUUAUUUUGAGGACAGUUGUUCAAGGCUUUGAGCAUUUGAUCCAUCUGGUUCUGCAGAUUUUGAAUUGAUAUCUCUUGAUUCUGAAUUGACCGCUCUUGAUUAAUCAUCCUCUCCUCAUUUGAUGUUACAAACUUGGACAAUAAUUCCUCCAACCUUGAAUUAUCUGUCUCAGUCUCGGAAGCCAUGUAUUGAGGACCAUUGGUUGAGGUAGUGACGAGUUAUUCCAUCCGAUUAUUAAAAUUUUGGGUUGACAGCUCUUGGCUAAUCCUCAUCUCCUCUAGGUUUGUUAUGCUUUUCAAUAUUACAUCCCUCGGAUUUGACUUUUCUUUUUGUGGCAAUGGAGGUGGACAUGGUGUGUAUGUUGGAUUUGGAGCGUAGUAUUGGUCUUCAUAAGUAUCGUUCCAUGACGAAUCCGGGUGAUACCCCCAAACUUGAUGAUAAUUAGCAUAUGUAUAAUCGUUGAGGUAUUCACCACCGUGUUGUCCCGGCCCAAAACUAACGGUGCAUUGAUGACUCGGAUGAUUACCAGCACAAUAAUUGCAAUUAACUGCUAUCCUUCGAUUAUGUUGGGUUGCAACAACGUCCAACUUCCUCGAAAGUGUCUUAAGCUGCGCUGAUAAUGCAGAAAAUGCAUCGAGACCAUCAAUCCCCGCUCCCUUUGGCUGAGUCAUUCUCGUAUACGACCAUUGAUAAUUAAAAUCCGCCAUGGUACCUGAAAAGAAAGAAAAAUAGGAAGAGAAUUAAAUAAAAAGGAAAAAAAAUGUUUAAUUAAGACUAAUUUGAUUGAAGCUAAUAUUGGCAAAAAUAUAUUAACUAAUUUCCCGGCAACGGCGCCAAAAACUUGUUGGGUAAAAUCUAAUUACGCACAACACGCAAGUAUACAUGGUCAACAAGUAAUAAAGUAAAAGUAGAGUAUCGUUCCCACGAGGAAUUGUUUAAUAAAAAUUACCAAGUACUAACCCGUAACCAACUCAAUCUUAUUUAAACGGAUGAAUUUCAAUUUAUAAGUAACCUAAUUCUAAUUACCACUAGUUAAAUUAAGAUUACGGAGUUCACUUAUUGCUUCAUUUAAGUUAACACACUUCUCAUCAAUUAUUUUCUAUCCUGAAUUGUUAAUCAAGAACACUAAAGCAGAUAAAAGCACAUCUCGAUGCAUAAUACUCAUACUCACUUAAAUCCACAGAUUAUAGAAUUAAGCAAGACACCCUAAUUAACUAAUCCACUAUAUCUCUAUGUGAAUUACAAUUAAAAAGGAUUUAAAGCACAAGUUCUCUAUAAGAUUACAUAUGGCGUAAAGGAAUAUCUCUAUCCUAAACACGAAUCAUGAAUUUCAUCUAUGCAGAAAUCACAAACACAUGCCAUCAUAAUAAGAUCUAAAUCAAUACUUCAUCUCUCGAGUUCAUAUAGAUUAUCACGGUAAUUGAUAGCUAGGCAAUUAAGCAAUUAAGUCCAAAUCACAAUAGACAAUCCUCAUGAUAGAACAUAAUAAUUGAUAGCGAAGCAUAUUAAAAUAAACUAUAUAAUAAGAUUCAUUGUAAUCUCAAACAAAGAAUUAGUUCAUGAUUAUUGAAUUAAAACUAAGAAUCCACAAUUGAAUAAACAAUAAAAGACAAAGAGAAGAAGAUGAGAAGAUAGAAUCUAUUGUCUGUAGAUUUGAAGCUCCCUCUUUGCUCUUACUUUGAAUCUUCAAUGGUCUCCAAGUUGUUUCAAUCUCCAAAUCUCAUAAGAACUAAGGUUUUGAUCUAAUCUACUCUAAUCUAAUCUAAUGAAAUCCUCUCUCUCCCUAAUCUCACCUCUAAUCCUUGUGAUUCUCCCUCUUUUAUCUGCUUAUUUAUAUGUCUUUAAGUCCUCUUGGAAGUCCUUGAGUCAAUCGGAUCGAAACAAUCCUUCCCGAACUCAAAUUUGGACAAAAACCGAGUUUUCUGCGCGUACCCCCGCCCCAGGGGGGUCUAGCCUUGUAAAGGGCUCGCCCCGGCGGGGGUCCCUACUAUUUUCCAGUUGGUAUGCCCGCCCCGGCGGGGGUUUUGUGAAGGAAAAGCCCGCCCCGGUGGGGGUCCCUUUUCUGCUCUGACGUCCUUUGGGAAAACAGCCAUAACUUUUGAUCCGGAAAGAGUUACGAGGCCUGUCACCUAUCAAAUCGAAGAUAUUGACGAGCUCUACAACUUUCAUUCUUUGAGAAUUGACAGAUUCGGAUUGGAUGAAGGUCAAAAUUGGGCUGGAAGUACAUGUUAUGUAAAUGGCCACCCAAAACAGUGAAGUUCGACGUCCAUUGGUACAGAGAUCAUAACUCUUGCAUCCGAACUCCGAUUGGAAUUAUUCAAGUUGUUCCGGAAAGCUAAGAAGAAGCUCUACAAUGUCAUUCAAGUUCCAAGCCAAAAACAUGAAAUGAACAUGAAAUCCCAAAUGAAGUUCGGAUUGCUUUUCUUUGCGAUUUCAGCUCCCAAGCAUAUAAUCUACAAAACGAACACAAAAUGCAUGAAAAGUAACUAAGAAACAUGAGAUUAAGCAACUAAUUCAAGUAACAGAUACCGGAUAAAUAGGUAUAAAACCUACUUAUCAGUUAUCACAAUAAAAGACAUAAACUACUCAACUAAAAUGAUCCCAUUUUCAAUCGAAGAUCAAACAACCUAAAAACAAAAUUUCAAUCGGACCAAACAAACAGUAACCAUAGUCAACUAAAUCAAUAACAAAAAUAAUCAAACAAUCCUUCACAGUUUACACGCCGAUGAACAUUCAAAACCAAAAAUUAUACAAAAAUUACUUCUAAAAUUUCACCAAGUUUUAAAACUAAGAAGAUUUUGUACUUAUAUUUAGAAUUGAUUUAUGAAAAAAAAAAUUGUCCCCUCCGAAUUUAACUCUUCCAUUUAUCUGCCCCCUUAAAUUUAUUAAUAUACAUAUUUGCCCUACCCUUAUACCUAUAAAAAAAUUUCAGCAAGGGCAGUUGCCUAUGCUUCCCCUCAACUAGAUCCGCCAGUGGCUACUAUUUGGAACCAUUGUACAACUUCCUAGUCCAAACUAUCUCUAUUUAAUCUUCUUUUGGUUGUGUUGUGAUUAUCACUUGUGAGACUUGACAUGAAAGAAGUAUAAUUCAUCAACCUAAAAUGAGGCCUUAUAGACCCUCCCCACUGCAUGUUUCUGGAUGUGGCAUCAAAAAGUCAUUUAAACAUGCCGGUUAAGAUGUAUGGAUUUGCAGUACCAUCUGUGUUUGACAAAUAUGCUCACUUGGGGCCACUUAGGUUAGAAUUAAAAAUGUUGGUAUCCCAUAAACCUUAGUAUUGCAUCUAACAUAAGGAAAAAGUUUGUUGGCGGCAGCAUAGCAGUCUCUGACGGCCCAUAACAUUGUGACAGCCGGCAGGAGGGUCCUUGAUCAUCAGCCUGUUUUGCCAAGAGUGGCACCUAUUUAGAAGAAGUAGCAAGCUGUAUGAUUGGAGCGAGACCCUUCUAGGAGAUAACCUAAAAACCAAGGUUCAGGUUUCAGAAAUUGGGUUCACCAUAUGGGAUUUGUUUGGCAAGUCAAAAAAUGGGAAUUUGGGAAUCCGAUACAUAUUUACAUAUUAACUAUAUUAUUUUAUACAUAUAAUUGUACAUACAUUAAUAUUUCAAAACUAAUAAUGUUAAAAUUCAAGAUAAAAUGCAAAAUAUUUCAAGAAACGCAAAAAAUUUAAAUACUAAUACUCACUGUCUAGGAAUUUAUAAAAUAUAUACUAGUUAAUUCUUACCUUAAUUUUUUAGAUAGUAUUAUCAUUGUACUAAUUACUAUUUAUAUAGUAUUACUGUAUUAGUAAUAUUUUCAUUUUAUAUCUUUAAAAGACUACAAGAAUCCCCUAAAAGAACCAGAAAAAUCCCAGAAUCUGGAUUCAGGUUUUCACUGGGUUUCGAAGAUUUGUCGACUUACUGAAGAUUCCUGACUUUUUAGGAGAUAACUAAAGAUAAAAAAAAACUAAGCCAGUCUAUUUAAUAGUUAGAUAUCUCAAUAUUCCUAGGUUUAACUGCCUGUGAUGUAUCAUAUCAGUUUCUUUAACAGAGAUUUCUAAAAGAAUUAUAAGCAUGUUAAUGACAUAAUAAUAUACCACUCUUUCUUCCUUUUUUUUAAAAAGAAAAUAUUUACUAAUCUUUUUAGUAGGCUUUCUGAGUUAUGUGUUGUGUCUUAACAAUAACUACAAGCUGCAGAUUGAACAGAAAUGAUGAGGAGACCAUUGUUAAACGAUGCUCGACUAAUCUUAUAUAACUAUAGCUCAAAUAUAUUAAUCUGAAUUUACAAAUUAAUUGUAGUGUUAAUCCUAAUUUAUUUUGCUGCAGCUAUAUAUAUGAACCUUCCACCACUGUUUUAAAUGUCGUCAAUAUUCUGGAUGAGCAAAGAAGUUCUAUUUUACAACUACAAGAAAAGCACGGUGUAAAGGUAAAUCAAUUAGGAUUGAGGAAGCUUUGUUUUGCUGGUAUUUUCAUUUGUUUUACAUAUCUAAAGUAAGAUAUGCAUGUUAAUUGCAUAUAGAUUCCUUGCUGUUUGGAUAGCCAAUUUUGUGGUAUGGUUGAAGCUUGGGCUUCUGGUCUAACUUGGAGGGAGAUAAUGAUGGAUUGUGCUAUGGAUGAAGGCGAUCUAGCUCGUCUCUUACGACGAACAAUUGACUUACUAGCUCAGGUACAAGAUCACCUGUUUGUUUGACAUCUUAAGCAUCAGACCAUGAUCUUCUAGAUCAUCUUUAUUAUUGAGCUUAACAAAAAAAAUCGUUUUCAUUGUUUUUCUUGGUUUCUUUCAUUUCUAGGUUCCUAAACUGCCUGACAUCGACCCACUGCUGCAAAGCAAUGCAGUGACAGCAUCCAACAUCAUGGAUCGCCCUCCAAUGAGCGAGCUGGCAGGAUAAAAUUAAUAGUGCUAUAGAAGGUACUUCUUGUUGUGGCUGAUUUAAUUGCUUGAGCUAAUGAAUUAUUAGGUUUUAGUGAUACAUGUAUUUGUUUUGUGUUGUACACAACUAGUGUGAACUUCAACAAGCAUACUAUAGUUCCGAAAUAUAAGAUUAAGUUUGACUUUUUAAAGUCAAUAUAGGCAUUUUCAAAUUUAAAAUUGAUAUAAUUUAUUAAACUUUUGAAAACAAUAAAUCUUAUAACCAGUAGUACUUAGAUAGUUUUUAAUUUCAUAAUUGUAUUGUCUAAAACUAAAUGAAUUCAUAUCUAUUCUGAUUUUGAAAAUAUAUCAAGUUGACCACUAAAAUUAAACAUUGAUCCUAUAUCUGAGAAUGGAUGCUGUAAUAAUUUGCAAUUGCUUGAGCUCAACCAACAACUAACAUUAACAACAAAAUACAACCAGUUUCGUUGAACUUAUGCAUGAUGUUUCAGAUAGAGAAGUGUCACGUCGUGAUAUGUGAUGCGCCAGCUAAACAACUAAUAUGUGUCUCUAAUAUGGAUGAAAAUGAGCAUGUUUUGAAUUCUUGAUACUGAGAUGUUUGAUGAUAAUACAGUACGAAUAUAAUUCAAUUUCUUAGUACAAUAGAAAUGGACAUGUAACUGUAAGAUGAUGUUAGCUUGAAAUGAAAUUUUUUUUAGCUGAAAUGCUUUGAACUGGUAAAAAGGGCAAAUACUUCACCAAGAGGGGAAUUGGAUGCAAGUUGGACGACCAGGAAAGCAUAGAUAUUUAGAUACAUCAGAGGCACUGAGACAGGACAAUACCCACACUUCCCUCCUUCCCCCUCGCCACUCCCUUCCCCCUCCCUUCUCCCUUUUUCUUUGUUCUCCUCCCAUCCGGAAAUAAUUGGAAAAGUAAAGAAGCUACAACAUAAAUCCUUUUAAAAAUGAGAAAAACAACUCAGAUUGUGCUCAAAUUAUUAUAUUUUAUACAUGGGUUAUUUUAUUUUUUUUGCAUACAGGUUCAACUGAAGUUUUUUUGCUUGCAUGAUUGUUGGAUCCAUGAGAUAUAUUACAGUUCAUCUGGUCUAUCAUAGAGAUAGAUGAAUGUUAUGUGUUGGUGCCCUUUGAUGAUACUCCGAUGCUCAAUCAUCAAAGAUGCUGCUGCUGCUACUACUACUACAUCCCAAUUGCUAACAUCUUGCUUCCUGGUGAACCAAAGUUGUAUUCUAUUUUAAUUGUUUUAACUUUUGAACUUCAAUUCUAUAAAAUAUCCCCACUUUGCAUUAUGGUGGGAAGAUUGGGUAGAUUGUGACUAAAACCUGUAUAUCACUUGAAAACCUGGGUAUUAGAAGCAAAGGGAAGGAAAAUGGCUUUUGAUUGGAUACACCCUUCCUCUUUAAGACAACCAAAAUAUGAUUCAAGUUAUUUGACAUAUUUAUAUAAAUAAAUCUUGCAAAUUAUUGAAAAGGUUGUAUAUUUGAAGCUUGAUUUUGAAAAAUAUAAGUUACCAUUUAAAAUAGAAAAUUAUUACUUCAGUAGUUUGAGACUAAUUUCAUUUUGCUUAAUCUUCUAUGAAUAGCAUCGUGGCCAGAUUUUGAUGAGGAUUUGUUGGCACUGCAGAAGCAAUAGCAACUAUCCAGUUCUCAAGGCAGCGUACCCAUAUUUAAGGAGGUUCACUUGUUACAUAAAGUAGAAGCGUCAAGCAAAUUAUUAUAUUUUGGUUAUUGGUAAAAAGGCAAGGCUUUCUUAAAGAGUGCAGAAAUGGUAUGGGGAUUGCAAUUGACCGGAAAGGAUUUGUUGAUUAUUGUUUCAUUACUUAUAUUUUUUUAUUUACCAAGAGUUAAUUGUAAUAUUCAUAUCGGUAGCUUAAGAUACCAUCUAUAUACCAUCAGUUUCUCUACUGUUGUUAGGGUUCCAGGGUUUGUUUGAUCAGUAAGAUACCUUCUAUAUACCAUCAGUCUCCCUAUUGUUCAAGUAACAAUUAUCAUUUUGUGGAAAAUUUGCAACUAAUGUGCAGCAUAACUAUCCAGGGAAAUUUCAGUCCGACAGAUUCAAGGGAAAAGAAAUUAUUGUGACCAUGUCAAAAUGUGUUUAACAUGAAGGUAGAGUUUGUUUUUUGUAUCUUAAACUUCAUGCUACUUACAAUUGCCAUUAGCAGGCGAGACGAUUCAUAAGUUUUAAUCUAAAGGGUAGAUUGGUCUCUUUUGGCAGUAAUAAACGCAAAAUGGUGGGUUACUGAAAGUGAUGCAUUACCGUUGCACUAAAUGUUAUUGAACCUUACCCCCCUCUUAUUACUAUAGUGAACUAGUGAGAAACAAGGAAAUAUUCACCAAGCUCCACAUUAGUUCCAGCUGUGCACUUCCAUUUCUGGUACCUAAUGUGUCAAAUUUGCACUUUGCUCGAGCACUCGUGGAGAUCAGAAGCACAGUUCCUGGGUCAUGGUUUGUAUGGCUUUAGAUUGUCAAUGUGCUCAAAAUUACAUCAAGAUCUUAAAAUCUCUAGCACAAAAUUACUAUCAAGAUCUUAGAACUUCUAGCACGUCCUGUAAAAUAUUAUUUGUGUGCAUGUGUGUGCUUUCACUAGCUUCAAAUGUUGAAGAUAAACCAAAAUUACUGUCAAAGAAUUCCAUUAUUGUGUGAACCAUAUAGCAAUCUGUGAAACUGUUGCACUCUGGCUAAACCACCAUUUGAAGGAUUUGUCUGGUCAUGGCUUGUGCCAUUCUGAUGCAAAGUUCUCCUCCUUUUUGUCCUGCACAGAAAGUCUUCUGUGUCUAAAACGUAAGAGACCUGCCAAUUACCAAUUACCAAUUACCAAUUUGCUGAGAUUAACAUAAAGAGUAUUAAAUUCAAAUAGGCAUGUAAAUGGGACAUAAACACAACAUGAUGUCGGAUUAAACUUUCGUAAGCUUACCUUGUAAGAAUUGCAGGCUAUCUUGCAUUCCAGACCAUUAAAAAUUUGAAGUCCUUCCCUGGCCUGGCACAUAAUGGAAAUUUCAUCUCCACAUGCAAAUUUGCGCUUAUUUCUGCAAAUAAGGAGUGCAUUAAUAUGUGCAAGUUUUACCGAGAUUAAAACAGCUUUAUCUACUGCACAAGUACCUCUUCAAGGCAAUCCCUGGCUUCUCCUUUUUGUCAGGAACAAGUGAGAGGAAAUCAUUGUUCAUAUAAGAUGCAAAAUUUGGGUCCAUUGAAACAGCAGUCACUUCAGGCUUUUCAAACCCAUAGUCCAUAAGCUGUAUAGACAAAUGGAGUGGUGCAGAUGACUGCCAAUGAAACCAAACAUCAUUAUAUCAGGGCAUAUCUACAGAACCUGCCUCCAUAGGUUCCAAUCAAAGACAGGAGAACGCAAUUGUAAAGACUUACACAUUCAACACGAUAAAUGUUCUCGUCAUGAAGUAGUGCACGGGCGUUGUCAUGAUAGACGACGUCAACAAAGCUCCCACAUGAUCUUGAUUUUUCAUAUGCAUAUAAUUGAAGAAGUUUGUUGUCCAUCUCAUCAGUUGCAACUAUUUGUAGCUGCAGAAAUACGAUGAGAAAAAAAUCUUCAGCACAGUAAGAAAAAUUAGGAACAAUAUGAAAACAUAAAACAUGAAAGGGAUUAUGUACAUCUUACCUGUUUGACAAGUUUAUAUAUAAGCUUGUCUAAUGUGAACAGCACAUACGACUGGGCUCCCAUCAUAGCUCGGCAAUCAUCCUCAAAUUUUGUAUUAUCAGAGGAUCCAUCCAGUAGACUAUAGAAUGCAUUCAUGAACCUGUACCAAAUAAAGGGCACUCGAAAUAAAUAUCGACAAUAUAAUAGUUGUUUGAAAAAACUCAAAAGAUAACUCGCCUGGCAAACAAAUCAGUUGGGGUUGUAUCAUUUGAACCCCUCCAAUUCUUUUCAGCAGAGGACUUUGCAGACUUUAUUCUAUCAUACAGAGUCUGUUAAUUUAAAGAGAAAACACAAGGGUCAGAACGAAAUAAAUGUAAUAUAAAACUGAAAGAGAUCAAUCAGAAAUUUCAGAAUAUAUCUAACUAAUUAAAGAUACUUCACAACAAAGUGAACUUUACUUGAUGAAGCCGAAAAAGAAUGUAGAAGGAAUCAUUUCCAUAAAAAAUCUGAGAACCAUUUUCCUUGUCCCGUAACAAUGGAGCUACAUGGAUUGAGAAAGGCUUCACUGAUUGUAGAAAACGUUCUGGGAAUGGCAAAAGUGUUCCAUCUCCUUCAGCAUCAUGGGCAUCAGCCAUUCCUUCAGCCUCACCCUCACUUUCAGCCUUGGUAUCAUGCUCCUUGGGGUCUCCUAUUUCUUCAUGUUCUUCACGGGAGCAAUCUUCUCCAUCCGCAGAUUCACUUCCUGAAGCAUCACCAUUCUCAGAGGCAUUCUCACUGUCAUCUGAGGAUCUAUGAGCACUUUCCUCACCUUCCUCAUCAGCAUCAACUUCAUUUCCUACUCCUUGCUCUCCACAACAAACUUCUUCUCCCUGUCUGGCUUGAUAUUGCACGCUUGUAGCACUACUUUUUAGUCUAUGAGCAGCCUCAGUAGCAGAAUCUCCAUAUGCUUGAAAAUUAUCCUCCUCAAAAUCUCCAUUUGGAGAUAAUUCACCCUCCUCUCGUUCAAUUUUAAAGUGCCCAACAGAUUCUUCAUUAUAUUUCUGGCCUCUGAUGCUCUCUGUCAUUGCUCCAUUCAAAGAUGAAACUGGUUUUGUAAAAUCACCACCCUGUAGCAUCAAGUAGGAUCAGAAUUCAGAAAUUGUUCACCAAGAGAAAUGACAACAGAAUCUAUUUAUUCCAUCUUAUAAAGCCACACCCCUUCAACUGGUAUGGCAUGUAACAGCAACUGUCCUCUUUAUGGGACACUUGGCAAUACAACCUUCUUUUAUUUUAGAUAUUAUUUGCUUAAUUUUAAAUAAGUUGACUAUAAACACAACAUAGAGCUUAAAUUCCUCUUGCAUAUAACUACUUCUAGGGGCAUGUUUGUUCAGAACUUUUCCCUCUCUUCAAUCAACUAUUUACACAUAUAUAUUUGUUAGAAAAUUGAUAUAUAUAUAUAUAUAUAUAUAUAUAUAUAUAUAUAUAUAUAUGAUGCAUUAUGAACCUAUAGCUCAGCAUGUGUCUUGUCCAAGACAAAAACCUAAGCAUCAUAGAUUACACAUAAAUGUCACUGAUAAUCUAUUUGCCAUGGUCCUAGUCAAGCAAGACGGCCCUAUCUAUAUGGCUCAUUAGUUUGCCAGAAAUCAUAAACUAUUAUCAUCUGAUUAAUGAGUGAACUGACUUGAGAAAUUGCAGUAACAUGGAACAGCGUCCUAUGAAUAUACUGUAAUUCGUCUACAAAUGAUUUUGUAAAAGAUGAUUUCUUUUUCUAAGGCAAGGAGUGCAUCAAGACAUGGCGAAAAAAAUGUCAUUAUAAGACUUAUUUAGCAGCUAUAUAAUAUUGCCAGAAGAACAAACAGUAAACUACACCAGCAAUACAUCAUAGACUAGCUAGAAUUGAUUAUGACAUAUAAGAGUUCCUAUUCACCGUCUUUGCCGUCAAAUUUAGCUCUCCAUUGCCAAAUGCCUAUUAACAUAUAGUAAAUCCUAUUCACCACUAUUUAUAGCUCACUCAAUCACUGGCAACUAACCUACCAUUAGUAAACAAUUAACUAUUUCCCAGUUAUUCCGACAUAAUUCCACCAAUCAUUAAUCUCAGCUACAUAUGUAAGUUGCUUCCAAUAAAUUCUAAAUGUAAUCAGCCUCCUAAGUUAAACAGAUCAAUGUCCAGAAUCCGUAAAAAGUGAGGGAAGACAAGUGGCUACUCAGAUGAAACAGCCAAAAUCAAUUUAAAGUCUGAGAAAAAGCAUUCCAACUAUAUGGUAGCUGCAGUGGGGCCAACCCACCCAAAAUUUAUGUCUUAAGUGCAGCAUGUGAUCUCCUGUAAACCAAACAUAUGCUUCUUCAACAUUGUUCCAAUAAAGAAGCAUCAACAAGAGCAUCUAAAUGUUAUCAGACAAGCAAAAGCAGGCAGGGAAAAACUAGAACUAUGUGCAGUCAAAUAGUUGAGCAAAAGAAGCAAACUUUUAAAAUUAAAGUUAAUCACGAGAAAAUCUUGCACCCAAAUUUAGCCAUACAUCUGAUGAAGGUAAAUUUUCAAGAAGUCCACCAUCAGCAGCAGCUUUACUAGGGUUCAGAGGAAUAGCACAGAUCCCUACCAAUGAAAUACAUAAUUUAGAAUCCAGUCAUAAAAUUGAGAAGAUUGGAAGCAAAAUAAUAACUAAAAAUGCCUAAGACUGAAGAGAGGACUGAGAUCACAAGUAAUACAAGAGUAAAUGAACCUUGUGUAUUUUCCCCGUUGACUCUUCCAUGACUUUCCUCUACCCUAGCAGCAAUUGAAACACUUGGAUAAGCUUGUUCUUUUUUUUUUAUACUUGAUGUUUCAUCUGUCAGAGUGACAUUAAUUUGCACUUUUCCAUUUUGAGGGGUCUUACACAAUGUAUCAUUUUUUCGUACAGUAUGAUCUGGAUCAUGAUAACCAUUUUCUUCUAUCCCAUUAUCAACAUUUACUAACCACGCACGAGAGGAACUUGAAUGCUCAGGCGGAUUAUUUUCAUCUCCAUUUCUAGAUGGGUUUGACUGUUUGCAGUUAUUAAUUGCUGCAACACCAACAGGACUGCCAUUACUUUCUCCAACGCUAGGAAAAACGCUAUCGGCAACAUGAUUAUUAGCCUUAACAAAAUCUUCAGUCUCCUCUGCGCACUGCGGGUGAGACGGAACACCAAGCAUCGGUUCGAGGAAGGUUGUCCAAACCUUCAUAACUUUAUCCAACUGUUCAGUUGUACAAAUUUCUCCACAUGAAUACUUGAUGAGCUGAUAAAGGUCUUCAUGGAUGUCAGAGUCAGGAUAUUCAAAUUCCAAAUUUGGUAUGGUCGGUCUCCUAUUUCCAGCGGCAAUAGAUAGCAAUACAUCAUCCUCUCUGCGCUGCUUUUCACUGAUUUCUUUGAUCUCAGCCAACAAUGCUGCGUAAAAAGAAAAACAUGAAAGUUCCAUGAUAAAUAGAUAACACAAGGAGUAAAUGAUGUCUAAUAGAAACUAAAUAACUUAAACAUGUUGAAUAUAAUAUCUCAAUGCAGCCACUUUGUUCUUCCAUGUGAUGCCUUUUGAAGACUGAUAGGACAAUUGUAAAACACUCCACAAGACUCAACCACACAAUCAAUUAAAAUGUAGAUGAAUCACAAUAUCACAUACACAGACAAUCUUGACAGGGAAAAAUGGUUGAACACAUUAAUUUUACAUAAACACAAAUGGGACAGGUACCUAAAUCAGGGGAACUAAGACUAAGAACUAAAAAGAAUGACUGAUGAAAACAUUUUUUGUAAAAGAAUUACGCAAAUCUCUGUAUUCGCAUGUAGAAAAAACCUUUUCGCAUAAAAUUGUGACGGUUCAAAUAAUGCAGUUCAAAUAAUCCAUCUUGAAGUUGUGCGGGAUUACCUAGAAAUGAGAUCUAUUAACUUUAAUAGAGAAGCCAUGUUUGGAGAAUAGUAAACACUUAAAUGGAAUAUCUUAAGCAUUUUUACCAUUUGUUAAUUUUCAAUUAAAGAUACACAGCCUUCGGCCUUACCAAUAUGAGCAGUCUAUUUCUCUUUCACCAUUGACAAGAUAAUAUAAGAAUAUACAACUAAUAAAUUCCAAGAGGAUAGAGUAGAAAACAUGAUAGACAACAAUGACCUUUAAAAGGAAUAAAUUGAGGGAGGGUGCGCGGGGGAGAAGAAACCCUAAACCCUCUAAUUCAAAGAAUAAAAAAAAACAAGAGGGAGAGAGAUCGUGGGGACAUCACGGAAAGCAGGGUUCGGGAGGGGGGAGAGAUUAACAUCGCCUCACCUUUUUUCUUCGGCAAAUCUUCGCAGUUCACAGCCAUAGCAACCCAGAUCGCUAAUCUUUAAUUAAGGAGAGGAGUGAGAACCAUAUAAAAUCUAAUCUAGCUUUCCAAUUUUCCAUUUUGGCCCUUUAUUUUUUCUAUAUGCUCCACAUAACCCCUCUGCUAAAGAUGAAUUUAAUGACUCCCACUACAUAUUUAUGUCCUUUAACAAAUUUGUGUAAUGACGUAUUGGCCUCAUUAAUGCCAACUUACUAAAGGAAUUUAAAUUUACAUAACUAGCAAACUGAUGUCACACAAAUAUAUUUAUGUAUUUAUGCUGUAUUUAUAUGCAUUAAUACGACUACAACCUGGUCUUGAUUUCUAAUAGUUCCCUGUUACAACCCUUUAUAUUUGAAUACACUUGACAGUUUAACAUAUCAAAUUACUACGUCGAAAUAAGGCACUAGAUAGAAGAAAUAUAUGUUUGACCAUCAUGUCAUGAAUCAUGAUUGUCAACUUUACCAGGGUAUCAAGUCUAAAAUACCUUUAGUGCUCAAGCUCUUUGAGUCCUGCUGCUUGAAAUAGAAGCUUCGGUGAUCAAGUGAUUUAUGGUAGUUCUUAGCAUAGAUUUCUGCCCAAACUUUAUUGAAAUCAGAACGACAUCUCGCCCACUCCUCUUGUUUCUGCUUCAAGCGUGUUAAUAUAACUGGCAGUGCAAGAGGUGCAUUUUUCUUUAAUACAUCCAUCACAUCGAGCCCGUGGUCACCAUACAAACGUUCAAUGCACCUUAGAUUUAAAGCUAUAUAAAAACAGAGAAAAACAUUCAAUAUGGCAACUAAAUUAAUAUCCUGGAGAAUCACAACUCCAAGUCAGUUUUAACCUGUAAAAUGGUCUUCAAUAUGAAUUGAACUGUCUGUUUUAAUCGUAUUAUCAUUGAUCAUGUCUAAUAGUUCCUCUACGCGUUUUGUUGUCACGUUCACAGAUUCUAACAACAUGUCCAGUUCAAACCUGACAUCAUAUAUCAAUACUGUUACCAAUUGGCACUAAAAAACUGGGAUUUAAAAAAAAUAAAAAAUUAAGUUACUUGGCCGUGAUGCAAAGAAAGAAAGAAAGGAAAACAAAACUGAAUAGCAAAGAAUUAACCAAAAAAACUGCCAACUUGCUAAAAAAAAAUUAUUUGCAACAAAAGUAAUUACUUUGGAAAAAAGAUACAUAGGCAUGGCAUAACUAAAUAAGCAGCUCAUAUUAGCAAAGAAAAAAGGGGCGUGAGCAAUUUUUACCAUACGAGACAUAAAAGAAGGUGAGAGGGGCAAAGAUCAUGACAGCAGUACACUACCUAUCAUCUUCACAUCGAAACAAGCUUUCCUCAUACUGGUUUUUGCGCAUGUGUUUGAAAGAGUAAUCCUCACUUCCUGAAGUGACUGACACCCAAUGAUCAUUCAAUACUUCAACACCGAUGUCUGUUCUCUGGCUUACUGAAGGAAUUGGAUACUGUAUCAAUCAAAAUCAAAGGAAUAUGAAGGAAAUCUUUGUAAGAUGAAUUUCUUUAAGUUGAAAACCUUCAAGGAAAGAAAUGCCUACAUUCUUAGGUAAAAGCCGAUAACUGGGUGUGCAUUGCUCACAGUUAGAGAGGUCAAGUUCUUGAAUUGGUUUUGCCAUAAACUUAUCCUUGCUUGAAAAUAAAGACAUCUUGUUCCCUGAUAUAUCUUUACUCCCAAAGGAUAAUCCUUUAUCCAGUCUAUCCCUUUCUCUGUUUUCACGAUCUCUAUCCUUGUCAUCCCUCUCAAGAUCUCUAUCUCUAUCCCUAUCCUCUACCUUCAUUGAUCUGGGUAAAUAUCCAUCACUCCACAAAGAUUCUGUAUAAAUUAAAAUCCAGUUAGAACCCGAGAAACUACCAAUAGCUUCGAUAUCUUCAAAGCUAACAAGAUGGUGUAAAAUUUGAAUGAUGCUUGAGCAGCGACUACUUAAUGAUAAAUGCCUGAAACACUUCCCAGAUAAAGGCCAAUAAAAGAACACCUCUUGUAAUGGUGAUGCAAGAUGAGCGUAUAGAAUAAGAACAACAAUUGAGAUACUAAAUCAUAAGACUUACUUUUGCUCAGAAUACCAGUAAGAAGACCGUCUGCAGGAAAGGGCUUGAUUAGAUAAUACUCCAGAAAUACAGACCUCCGACAAAUGACACAGUAAGCAGUUAUUUAAUUUAUUAAUUGAUUGAAUAAUAAUAAUCAGCAUUUACCAGUCUUGUCGGCACAAUUUAUAAAUUCAUUGAACCCUUCCAUAAGGUCUGGAUAUCUUCCAAAAAUUUUACCCACCUGGCACAACAAAAAGAUUACUAAAACUUACUGAUCCUACCCACUGUAAGUGAAUGACAAGUAUGUCACGUAAUUGAACUAGUCAUGACUAAUGAAAUCUAUAAUCUUUACUGGUAGCAAGUACAUAAUGUACUAAAAUCAGAUAAAAUCACAUGUGAUAAGAUUGGGAACAUUUGUAUCAUCUGAAGCAUUCUAACAUCACUGAAACUGUUCAAAGACACAAAAAUUGAGGAUGAGAGGGAUCACUCGGAACAAUCUCUGUUCAAUUUUAUUUAUCUUUCCCUUAUUUGGAAGAAGACUCCCAGGUUUCAAAAAAACAACUGUCCUGCAACCUAUAGAUUUUGAUGACCAAGUGUCUAUAUAAUAAUUUCUUUAAACAAGUAAAUAUGAACCGUAACUCAGUAUGAGGUGUGGAAAAUAACAUAAUUUCAUGAUUCGGCACCUUCCUGAAACUCAAUAAUGAAGGACGCAGCAAGAGCUAUUAACCUUUCAUAUCCAGUCAGCUAAUCAGUCCAACCACAACAUUCUGAGCCAUCUAGACACACGAUGAGUCGAUGACUUCUAAGGUAUGCCAGGGAAUAGGGUUGGAAAAAUUUCAAGAUUCAUUUCAAAGUACAAGCAACAUUGUUUGACUGCUA